rnacentral:lncRNA from 1 species
AAUCUACCCAAUCCCAAGGACUUUGCUUCACGCAUCUACAGCUCAGUGAAAUCUAGCCUUAAUAUCAGUCCUGAUGCAACAAUUGAAGACGAUGAUGAUGUAGAAGAAACCGAGAUAGAGUCGGAGACAAAAGAAAGUGCAGGCAAAGAUGAGUUGUAGAUUGCCUGAAACCUCGGGGAUAUAUUGCCUGAAACCUCGGGGAUAUAUACUCUUUGAGUUUGUUUUACCCUCUGUAGACAUUCACGAUUGAACUGAAACAUGCAUUUUCAAGUCUGAAACUAGGAUAAAAAGAAAAUUUACGUAGUUCUUUCAUUUCGGGUGUUGAGAAGUCUCAUCGAUUUUGUCUGUGGAAUGUGUUUUUGUUGACAGUAUAUACUGGUUUGCAUGAUUAGCUUGUUUGGAAGGUAUAUUAUGGUGGCUUCUUUUUAAUUUUGAUGACGAUGAUCUGUUUUAGAAGUAAAAGAACAUUCGGUUCUACAUUUAAGAGCACUGUUCUAGGGAUGCCUAGUGCAUUAGGAGUUUCAUUAAUGAUCUUUGAUAUACGUUUGGAGAUCCACUUUGAUUUCGAGUACAUCAUACAAGGCAGUCUUUUCCGUCCCAAGAACUUGUAACACUUUACCUGGCUAAUGGGGGUUUUAGUGAUACUAUACUUCGAUAGUCUGUAGUUGUCUAACAUAUUGUCCUUUCUCAACCAACUUUUCACGACCUCCUUGAACACUCCGAUCAUGGUAGCGCAAGUUCUGUCUAUAUCAUGCCUAUUGGGUACCCAUGUAUCAUGCACUAAAACUCAAAUAGCAAAUGCUUGUCCUCAUUCCAGUGAUAAAGAGGAAGAAAAAACUUGAUUGUAUUGUGUUUUGUUAUCUUUUGAGAGCUUUUAUUACCUCUCUUGCAUCACUCAUCCAAAUGCAUGAAUGGUCAUGGCGGUCAAUAUUUGGAUAAUUGCAUGUUUUCUUUUGUUUUUCUGUGUACAUUUAAAAUCUGCGUUGAAAAUACGGAAUCAAGUAAUUUCUCACUUCUGAUUAAUGGAUUUUCACUGAGCCCAACCAUUCGAACUCCUUGAUGCCUUAUUCUGUAACGAGCUUCAUGCUAUCGUAUUUUUUCUUGCUCGCAACAAAACCCAAAAAUACAUUGAAAACUGAUUCAGACCGUAGUCUUUGGUUCAGUUUUAUUUAAUUUGGUUCGGUUGGUCAAAAUUCACAAAUUAAAAAAUUGUAAUUAUACAAGCUAAAGCGAAUCUUAUUUUUAAUUAAGUUUUUUACCUUGUAAGUGCGAUUGUAUUUAUUACAGGAUCAAUAAAUUCAAUUCAGACAGAUUUAAAUUAUAAAUACAUAGAUACAUACCUAUUGAUAGUUUUGAGGAUGUAAUAAUUUUUUAUUUAAGUAAAAUAUCAUAGAAACAAAUAUUUCCGAUAAUAGUUCAGGGACAUCCUAUGCUAAAGUCAAAUUAUAUUUUACUUUUUUUAUUUAAAAAAGUUUCUAUACAUUAGAUUUAAAAAUUAUCUAUUUUUACUAUUAAAAAUUAGUCUUUAUACUUCAAUAUGAGUUAUAUGUGAUAUGUCACAUGAUGUUGUAUGGAUAUUCUCCCAUCCAUCUUAGAUUUUAAUAUUAUAAUUAAAUGAAUUUUUAAUAAAAAUAGGGGUAGCUAAAGGGUUGGUAGGGGCCCCGAUCCCUUAAAAUAAAAAAAAUUCAUUUAAAUCUUUUAAAAUUUUAAAUUAAUAAAGAUAAAGAUUGCACUGUGACUCUCUUAUAAAUAAAAAUUCGAUUUAAUUCUUUAAAAAUAAAAAAGAUAUACUAUUAAAAUUAUAAAAUUAUAUUUUUACUAUAAUAAAAAUUAUAAUUUAAUUUUAAUUUCUAAAAAAAUUUUCACUUCACCCUAAAUAUAAGAAAUCAAUUUACUUUUUAACUUAUUAUAUAAAAACUAUUUUAAAGAUACAUUUAUUUAAUGUAUAGAAAUUGAUUUACAGAAGAGAUAGAUCCACAUGGAAAGGAGAAGGAAAACACACAGAACUGUAAGGCAAGGAUAGUAAUAAAGAACAAUCUAGAAAUCGUGAUUCAUACACCUCCAAGCAUAUUACGCGACGUUUACAGCAAAACCGAGUCGUUCGAUCGUUUGAUGAUCAUCAGGUCAAGUUGACUAAAGAGUUGAAGUCGUCCGAUAUGGGGCCUGCCUGCCCAUAACACACGGCCACGUCAAAGAAACAAAUCCAAACCAAUAAAAUCAUGCCACGUCUCAACAAACCAAAUCAUUAGCCGUUAGAUCCUCCACGCUGGCGCCAAAAACCAAUUAACAUAAUCUUUUCCAUCGCAAAAAACAUUGCUAAACUCCCCCCCACCUAUUUAAGAACUCCCAAGCCUGCACUGAAGGCAAAGCUACUAUAUUUCAAAAAAAAAAAAAAACAAAAAAAAACAAACAAAGGUAGCCUAAGCAAACUAUGAGGAAGUGGGCGAUCCCUUCCGCUUUGGUUCUUCUUUGCCUUCUCAGUCUCCUAUCAGAUCAUGGUAAGCUUACGCCACUUUUCCUUUUUAUUGUUUUUUUUUAUUUCUUGAUUGUGAAAUGCUGAAUCCAGAUCUACACUUGUUUCAGGGAGAAAAGUACAAGCAAAUGCCGAGGAAGGAGCUGUAGAUCCUCCUAAAGUCGAGGAAAAGAUCGGCGCUGUGCCUAAUGGCUUACAAACUGAUUCUGAUGUAGUUAAAAGGUUAGCAUAAUUUUUGUUUUGGAAUAUACUUUUCAUUACUUUGUUCUUUUUUGUUUACUUGAAUUUUGAAUCCGAAUGUUCUUACUAGGGAAUCGGAAUCCAUCUCUUCGAGAUCGCUUCGCAAUAAUGCGGAGAAGUUUGAGUUCCAAGCUGAAGUGUCUCGGCUUAUGGAUAUCAUUAUCAAUUCUCUUUAUAGCAACAAGGAUAUUUUCCUCAGGGAGUUGAUCUCCAAUGCUUCUGAUGUAAGUUUUAUGUCUUUCCUUUUUUGAAUUGUUUUUAGUAAUUUUUUGGAACUCGAUGUUGAAUCAUUGUUUUUAUUCUAAUUUAAGGCACUGGACAAGAUUAGGUUCCUUUCACUCACAGACAAAGAAGUUUUGGGUGAAGGCGACACUUCCAAGCUGGAUAUCCAGGUCAGUUCUUCAAACUAAAACUUUAUCUUAUUGAAAUUUAAUUACAGAGAACUCUGGUUACCACUUAAUUAGAAUGAGCCUGCUCUAUAAUGUCGUUGCUGAGCCUUAAAAAUGCAAUGAAAUUGCAGAUUAAGUUGGACAAAGAGAAGAAGAUUCUUUCCCUUCGUGACAGAGGUAUAGGAAUGACAAAAGAAGAUUUAAUCAAGAACUUGGGAACAAUUGCGAAAUCUGGAACUUCUGGUAACUAAAUCUUUAUAUUUGAUAUUGCAGAAGUAGAGUUAUGUUUCAUUAAGUAUAGAUUACAUAAACUGAAGUUAUUAUUAUUAUCUUUUUUGUGCAGCAUUCGUUGAGAAAAUGCAAUCCAGUGGAGACCUUAAUCUGAUUGGGCAGUUUGGAGUUGGGUUCUACUCUGUAUAUCUUGUAGCUGACUAUGUCGAAGUCAUUAGUAAACACAAUGAUGACAAACAGUGAGUCUUCUAGCUUCAAUGUAGUUCUUAUGGUAAUGUUUGACUGAUUGUUGAACUAUUAUUUGGUUAAUAUGUUUUACUCUUUAGGUAUGUAUGGGAAUCGAAGGCGGAUGGGGCAUUUGCAAUUUCCGAGGAUACUUGGAAUGAACCACUUGGACGUGGGACUGAGAUUAGAUUGCAUCUUAGGGAUGAAGCUCAGGAGUAUUUGGAGGAAAGCAAAUUGAAGGUUAGCAACUUGAAUUUUGCAUGUUUACAUAGCCUAUUCUUUGGGUAUGCUGAUUUUCAUUUGUGAAAUAUUUUCUAUUAUGGUACCAUCCUUUGAAAUGUUAUUUCCGUGAACUUGUAAUUUGAUGUAUUGACUUAAACUUGGCCUUUUGAAGAUAUGCUAACAAAGCAUGCUGUGUUUCUCAUCUGCAGGAGUUGGUGAAGAAAUAUUCUGAGUUCAUCAACUUCCCCAUCUAUAUCUGGGCAAGCAAAGAGGUUGAUGUUGAGGUGCCUGCAGAUGAAGAUGAGUCAAGUGAUGAGGAGGAAACCUGUAUGUAUUAGCUAGCCUGUUAAUGUUUAUUUAAAACUUGUCUUUUUCCUUAAUGCUGUAAGAGUAGGCAUGUUUUGAUUAACUGAUUAUAGUUUUUGGUUUCCUUCUCUUUUAUUUUCACAAACAGCCGAUAGCGGCUCUUCCGAGGAAGGAGAAGAUGAAGAUGCUGAGAAAAGUGAGGAUGAUGAUGCUGAAAAGAAAUCAAAGACAAAGAAGGUGAAGGAAACUACUUAUGAAUGGGAACUUCUGAAUGAUGUUAAAGCCAUAUGGUUGCGCAGUCCAAAGGAGGUGACAGAUGAAGAAUACACGAAAUUCUAUCACUCUCUAGCUAAGGUAAUUUUCCAUAUAUUUUCUAGCUCCAUACUACCGAAAGCAUUAUAGAGAAGUUUCUAUCACUUAUAGAUGCAUAUUUCUGCUUCUCUGCAGGACUUUAGUGAUGAGAAGCCCUUGGCCUGGAGCCACUUCACUGCUGAAGGUGAUGUCGAGUUCAAGGCCGUUUUGUUUGUGCCUUCUAAGGCUCCUCAGGAUCUAUAUGAGAGUUACUAUAACACCAAUAAAGCCAACUUGAAGUUGUAUGUUCGACGAGUUUUUAUCUCUGAAGAAUUUGAUGAGCUUUUGCCAAAGUAUCUUAGCUUCUUGAAGGUAAUAGAAGACAUUCCAAGUUAUUUUAGUUGACUUGAAUCUUCACUAAUGAGUUUUCUGAGUUGUUUUUUAUUGUUUACCUGUUGAGCAGGGUCUUGUUGAUUCUGAUACUCUGCCUCUCAAUGUGUCACGAGAGAUGCUGCAAGCCCACAGCAGUUUGAAAACAAUCAAGAAAAAACUCAUCAGGAAAGCCCUUGAUAUGAUUCGUAAAAUUGCCGAGGAGGAUCCUGAUGAGUCGAGUGGCAAAGAUGAGAAAGGUAUUGUAUAUUGAUUUCGUGUAGAAUUAAAUUUAAUUUGCUAGUACUUCACCGCCUAGACUUGGCCUACCACUAGCCUUUGACAAUGAAACUAUUCUAUUCCAACUUAUUUCUGGGUGAAUAUUGAUACUGAAUAUGAUGGGGAUGCAGAAGUGGAAACAUCUGGUGAUGAUGAUGAGAAAAAGGGACAAUACACCAAGUUCUGGAAUGAAUUUGGAAAAUCCAUUAAACUCGGCAUCAUUGAGGAUGCAACCAAUAGAAAUCGCUUGGCAAAACUCCUUCGAUUUGAGAGGUAUUUAACUUUGUAUAUGGUAUUUAGGCAUGAGCAUUGUAUUGGUAAAAUCAAGAAACCGAACUGAACUGAUUAAUUUGAUUGGUUUAAAAGCGUCAAAUUUCAGUUGUGUGUAAAACCAAACAGCAUUAUUUGGAUUAGUUUGGAUCCUGAAACUUAAAAACAAGUAUUUGGCCUUGAUUUGUUUUUCCUUUUAGUCGAGUCCAAACAGAAGCAUUCUUUGCACAUGAUAAUCACUUUUCUGCUAGUAACUAAUGAGUAAUGGUGUAUGAAUUGCAUUGCAGCACCAAGUCGGAUGGUAAAUUGACAUCACUUGAUCAGUACAUCUCAAGGAUGAAAUCCGGACAGAAAGAUAUAUUCUACAUUACAGGAACCAGCAAGGAACAAUUAGAAAAAUCUCCAUUCUUGGAGAGGCUUAAGAAGAAAAAUUAUGAGGUAACUGCUGAAGCAUUCCGAACCAACUUUUCUCAUCUGCCCUUUUACUUAAUUUAUAUCUCUUUUUCAAUCUGUGCUUGGGUUCUAAUGACCUUUGUUGUUUCCAGGUAAUUUUCUUCACUGAUCCUGUUGAUGAGUACCUGAUGCAAUACCUUAUGGAUUAUGAGGGAAAGCAGUUCCAAAAUGUAUCCAAGGAGGGCCUGAAAAUCGGGAAAGAAAAGAACAAAGAACUCAAGGAGUCAUUUAAGGAACUAACUAAAUGGUGGAAGAAUGCACUUGCUAGUGAUAAUGUUGAUGAAGUGAAGAUAAGCAACCGUUUGGACAACACUCCUUGUGUGGUUGUUACAUCAAAAUACGGAUGGAGUGCUAAUAUGGAGAAAAUCAUGCAGUCUCAAACCCUAUCUGAUUCUAGCAAGCAAGCUUACAUGCGCGGCAAGAGGAUCCUAGAGAUUAACCCAAGACACCCAAUCAUCAAGGAGCUUCGUGAGAGAGUUGCCAAGGACUCUGAGGUACCUAUCUAUAUAUGUAAACAGUAACAUGCAUGUUUGAUGAGUCGGUAUUCAGUUUUGCUUCAUUUGAUGAAAUCAUUUGGUGGAUCUUACAGGAUGAGGGUGUGAAGCAAACGGCUCAGCUUAUUUACCAGACGGCUCUAAUGGAGAGUGGUUUCAAUCUACCCGAUCCCAAGGAUUUUGCUUCACGCAUCUACAGCUCGGUGAAAUCUAGCCUAAAUAUUAGUCCCGAUGCAACAAUUGAGGAUGAUGAUGAUGAUGUAGAAGAAACCGAGACAGAAUCGGACACAAAAGACAGUGCAGUCAAAGAUGAGUUGUAGAUUGCCUGAAACCUCGGGGACAUGCCUUUUGAGUUAGUUUUACCCUCUGAUGACAAGCCGAAGGAACUGUAACAUGCAUUUUCAAGUCUGAAACUUGGAUAAAGGGAAACAUUACAAACAUUACUUAGUAGAAUAUAUGUAAACCGUAGUCGACUGUGAAAUUAAUCUGUCUGCAAUUUUUGCUCUUUUAAUGCAUCGCAGUGCUUUUAAGAUUUUCGCGUAUUAAUAUAUGGUUGUUUCGAUCUUAUUAUCUGUCAACAUGUUCAACUUCCAUUGCUUAAGAUUAUAUCUUGUAUUGUUAUGCAAUUUCAGUGGAUGAAGGGAAACCGUUUUACUUGAAAAAUGCCCCGAAUUUUCGGCUCUUAUAACUUAGCGGCCUUACUACAAUGCCAUUCUUUGAGACGGAUUUUUUUUCGUGGAUCGCAGUGAUUGAAACCCGAACCCAAACUGAAGAAUCUUUGUUAAAAAGCCACAAAAUGCUGCUACAUUAUUGGCCUUUGAAAGCGGUAUCUCCUUUGCGGCUUAACCAUAUUCUCUGUCGCUUGUGCUAAAAUGGGGAAGGUUUUGGCUUUGGACCACACUAGAAAAUUGGAAUGAAAGUGUAGACAGUAACAGUCCCUUUGUAGAUGAGAAUCUGAAUUUGCCGACUUAUCAUCACCCACAGUCUCAACCCCACUGAAGAAGGAAUCUUAAAGGCAGCUUUUUUUAAUGUUUAACACCAUAUACAACUCCAUUGCAAGCUUAAAUUAAAUCAUCAAACCACCAAGCUUGCAAUUCCAGCAAAGUGGUAUUUUUUCCUUUUCAGUGUUUGCUCAGAUUCCCAGUAAAGUAGACACUUUCUUUUGCUUCAAAUGCUUUCUUAAUCAAUUAAAAGUAAUGACUACACUUCUUCUCAUUUGUUGCUUUUGGAGUACAACUCUCUUCCAACACUAAAUCAUAAACAACCCAGAACACUAAAUAAUAGCAAUAGUAGUUCUGUUUCGUGUUAAUUCAACCCCGCAUUCUCAUGCAUUUUAAAUUUUAGAAUAUUCUAAUUCGAUCCUUGGAGUAUUAAUAUUGUAAUAAUUAGAUUUAUUUAUUAGUCAAGUAAUUAAUUUGGGUGUUAGAUAUCAGUUCGAAUCUAACAUGAAANNNNNNNNNNNNNNNNNNNNNNNNNNNNNNNNNNNNNNNNNNNNNNNNNNNNNNNNNNNNNNNNNNNNNNNNNNNNNNNNNNNNNNNNNNNNNNNNNNNNNNNNNNNNNNNNNNNNNNNNNNNNNNNNNNNNNNNNNNNNNNNNNNNNNNNNNNNNNNNNNNNNNNNNNNNNNNNNNNNNNNNNNNNNNNNNNNNNNNNNNNNNNNNNNNNNNNNNNNNNNNNNNNNNNNNNNNNNNNNNNNNNNNNNNNNNNNNNNNNNNNNNNNNNNNNNNNNNNNNNNNNNNNNNNNNNNNNNNNNNNNNNNNNNNNNNNNNNNNNNNNNNNNNNNNNNNNNNNNNNNNNNNNNNNNNNNNNNNNNNNNNNNNNNNNNNNNNNNNNNNNNNNNNNNNNNNNNNNNNNNNNNNNNNNNNNNNNNNNNNNNNNNNNNNNNNNNNNNNNNNNNNNNNNNNNNNNNNNNNNNNNNNNNNNNNNNNNNNNNNNNNNNNNNNNNNNNNNNNNNCAAACUCUUUAAAUGAAAAUAUUAAAAAAACUAUCAUAAAUUUCGAAAAAUUUAUCUUCAUAAACUAUAAAACUGACAUAUAUAAUAAUUUAAUGAUAAAGAAAAAUAUGUAUUAAUUCUUCUAGAGAUUAUAGCUUAAUUAAAAUAUAAAAUUCAUACUGAAGAAUAGGCACGAAUGGCUCAUUACUAGUCGAAAUGAGUUAUUAUUGUAUUCUAUAUAAGUUAAUUCAUUAGGAUUGGUUUUGCACAUGUUCUAAGCUGCACAUUUAUUCUAAACGUAAACCCUAUAAGUAAAAAUAUAUUUUAUGUGUGACUCCAAAAUACAAUAAAAUGUAGAGAAUUGGUUGAAUUUGGGCCGGCAUAGAAUGAUGUGAUAACCCAGUCCAGUUUCUAGACCAAAGAAAUUGACCUGCCAAAUUGCAAUGCUCGAUAAUUUUGUUGAAAAGAUAAAUUAAAAGGGGUGUUGAAAAGUCAAAAAAAAAUGGGAGGUGCAAGUGGCACCGAAAAAAAAAUGGUAGGCAAGUUGUUUAAAGUUGAAUGGGAUAAUUGCAAUUUUGGUCCCUAAUUUUUAGGUCAUUUGCAAGUUAGUCCCUGAACCUCAACUAUAAAUAGGCCUAACCAUUUCUCAUUUACACCAUCCCAACCAAUCUUUCUCUCUUAGUUUUCUCUCUUCUCCCAUUUGAGAAUUCUUAAGGAAUUCUAUUUGUUUGUAAUAUUUUAGAGAUAGUAAAGUUAUCAUCUGGUGUUAGUGCCCGAGGACGUAGGUAUAAUUUACCGAACCUCGUUAAAACUCUUAUGUUCUUUUUGUCCUAUUUUUCUUUCAAUAUUUGAGGGUAUAGUAGUAGUAUUUAAUUGUGCUAUUAAAUUACGUUAGAAGGAAAAUUCUGACUAAGGAAAGACUUGGUAUUUAAGAGAUCCUUGUGAUCCACCUCUCUUCCCUGGGAAUUGAACUUUGUGUGAUUUUUUAGUACAAUAAUUUACACGCUUCCGACCCUAUUGGAACAACAAGUGGUAUCAAGAGCCGAAGGUUAAUCGUAGUAUGCUCUGUGGUUGCAGUUUAAACUGAUCUUCCACAUCAGAAAAGAUUUCCUUAGGUAUAUUGAAAGAUUAUGGAGAAAACGGUCGGUGUAGGAGCUUCAACAUCGUCCAUGUGGACAAGACCGACAAUUGCAAAUGCAAGAUUAGCCGUGGAGAUCUUUGAUGGCACGGGCCAUUUUGGUAUGUGGCAAAGUGAGGUUCUAGAUGCCCUUUUUCAGCAGGGUCUAGACAUUGCCAUUGAUGAAGAGAAACCAGAUGAUGCACAGGAGAAAGAUUGGAAGGCGAUCAAUCGGUUGGCAUGUGGCACAAUUCGAUCAUGCCUUUCUCGAGAGCAGAGGUAUGCUUUUUCAAAGGAGACUUCUGCAAGUAAGUUGUGGGUGGCACUUGAAGAAAAAUUUUUGAAGAAAAACAGUCAAAAUAAGCUCCACUUGAAGAAAAGACUGUUUCGCUUCACAUACGUCCCAAGUACCACAAUGAAUGAUCACAUCACCAAAUUUAAUCAGUUAGUCACUGAUUUGCUGAAUAUGGAUGAGACAUUCAAAGAUGAAGAUUUGGCUUUGAUGCUGUUGGGGUCACUUCCUGAGGAGUUUGAGUUCCUAGAAACUACUCUACUUCAUGGCAGGAGUGAUAUAUCUCUGAGCGAAGUCUGUGCGGCCUUAUACAGUUAUGAACAGAGAAAGAAUGACAAACAGAAAAACUCAAUCAGAGAUACAGAAGCUUUAGUAGUCCGAGGUCGUUCAUACACUCGGAAGAAAACUCAAAAGGGGAGAUCAAAGUCAAAGUCCAGACUCGGGAAAGAUGAAUGUGCUUUUUUUCAUGAGAAAGGCCACUGGAAGAAAAAUUGUCCAAAGAUGAAGAAUAAGGGAAAAGCUGCUGUAGAUGCUUGUGUUGCUAAGCAUGAUACUAGUGACUCUGAACUAUCACUGGUUGCAUCAUCAUCGUCGUUCCAUUCAGAUAAGUGGAUAUUGGAUUCGGGUUGUACCUAUCAUAUGUCCCCUAACCGGGAGUGGUUCUCUGAUUUAGUAGAACUAAAUGGAGGAGUUGUUUAUAUGGGCAAUGACAAUGCCUGUAAAACUGUUGGGAUAGGUUCAAUCCAAUUAAAAAAUCAAGAUGGAUCAACCAGAGUUCUGACUGAUGUUCGGUACGUGCCCAGUUUGAAGAAAAAUCUCAUCUCAUUGGGAGCCUUGGAAUCCAAUGGUUCAGUUGUUACUAUGAGAGAUGGGAUUUUGAAAGUGACAUCUGGCGCACUUGUGAUAUUGAAGGGCAUCAGGAAAAAUAACUUGUAUUACUACCAAGGUAGUACAGUUAUUAGAGCAGUCGCUACAGCUUCCGGUAACAAAGAAUUGGACUCAAUGCAGUUGUGGCAUAUGAAGUUGGGACAUGCCAGCGAAAAAUCCUUGCAAAUUCUGGCAAAGCAAGGAUUGUUGAAAGGUGCAAAGGCUUACAAAUUAAAAUUUUGCGAGCAUUGUGUUCUGGGAAAGCAAAAGAGAGUGGAAUUCGGUACUGCUAUCCAUAAUACAAAAGGUAUUUUGGAAUAUGUUCACUCAGAUGUGUGGGGGCUUUCCAAGACACCUUCAUUGGGAGGAAAACACUACUUUGUUACUUUUGUUGAUGACUUUUCCAGAAGAGUUUGGGUGUAUACCAUGAGAACUAAGGAUGAAGUGCUUAGAGUUUUUCUUAAAUGGAAAACUAUGAUCGAAAACCAGACUGGCAAGAAAAUCAAGCGGCUUAGGACGGACAAUGGAGGCGAAUAUAAAAGUGAUCCAUUCUUCGAUGUGUGCCAAGAGUAUGGUAUUGUUCGACACUUCACAGUUAGGGAUACACCACAGCAGAAUGGAUUGGCAGAGCGUAUGAAUCGAACAUUUCUGGAGAAAGUUCGAUGUAUGUUGUCCAAUGCUGGGUUGGGCAAGCAAUUUUGGGCUGAGGCUGUGACAUACGCUGGCCAUCUUGUUAAUCGUUUGCCAUCAUCUGCAUUAGAAAGAAAAACUCCUAUGGAGGUAUGGUCUGGAAAACUGGCUACAGAUUAUGAUUCCUUACAUGUGUUUGGAUCCACUGCAUAUUACCAUGUGAAGGAGUCAAAGUUAGAUCCGAGGGCAAAGAAAGCUCUCUUUAUGGGAAUCACUUCUGGAGUGAAGGGAUUUCGUCUUUGGUGCUUAAGCACAAAGAAAAUGAUCUAUAGCAGAGAUGUUACCUUUGAUGAAUCUGCCACAUUGAAAAAGGUAGCAGAUAAAGAUAUUCAGACGAGCAAUCCUCCACAACAGGUGGAGUGUACUCCAAAACAGGUGGAGUUUGAGCAGAUGGGGAUUUGCCCAGUUAAUAAGUCUAAUUCUCCAGCCACAAUGGAGGAAUUAGAGGUUGAAGAGGUUCUGACCCAAGAACCACUAAGUACACCAGAACCAGUUGCAGUUGCAAGGCCACAGAGAGAAAUUCGUAAACCUGCUCGAUUUACUGAUAUGGUGGCCAACGCCCUUCCCGUUGUUGAUGAUAUUCCUAUCACUUAUCAAGAAGCAAUGCAAAGCUUAGAAAGUGAUAAAUGGAAAAGCGCCAUGGAUGAAGAAAUACAGUCUCUCCUGAAGAACAAUACUUGGGAGUUGGCGCAAUUACCGAAAGGUAAAUGGGCAAUCGGAUGCAAGUGGGUAUUUGCAAAGAAAGAUGGAUCUCCUAGCAAGAAGGAUAUUCGCUACAAGGCAAGAUUGGUAGCUAAAGGCUACGCUCAAAAGGAGGGAAUUGACUAUAAUGAUGUAUUUUCCCCUGUUGUGAAGCAUUCCUCCAUUAGAAUUUUGUUGGCCUUGGUAGCACAGUUGAAUUUGGAGCUAGCUCAACUUGAUGUUAAGACGGCUUUCUUGCAUGGUGAGUUAGAAGAGGAGAUCUAUAUGACUCAGCCCGAAGGAUACACAGAUGCUGGUGGUAGAAAUUGGGUUUGUAAGCUGAACAAAUCGCUAUAUGGAUUGAAGCAAUCCCCGAGGCAGUGGUACAAGCGAUUUGAUAGCUUUAUGAGAAGGCAGAAGUACACAAGAAGCAAAUAUGACAAUUGUGUAUAUUUGCAGAAGCUGCAUGACAGAUCUUUCAUUUAUCUACUCUUGUAUGUUGAUGAUAUGUUAAUCGCUUCGAAGAGCCAAAAUGAGAUAGAUAAGCUGAAGGCUCAGUUGAAUCAAGAGUUCGAGAUGAAAGAUCUAGGUGAAGCCAAGAAGAUUCUCGGCAUGGAGAUAAGUAGAGAUAGACCGAGAGGCAAGCUCUGUUUAAAUCAGAAGCAAUAUCUGAAAAAGGUAUUACAAUGUUUUGGUGUAAAUGAAAACACAAAACAUGUAAGUACCCCACUUGCUUCUCAUUUGAAACUUAGUGCUCAAUUAUCUCCGAAGACUGAAGAUGAAAGAGAAUAUAUGGCGAAAGUCCCAUAUGCUAAUGCAGUUGGGAGUUUGAUGUAUGCGAUGGUGUGUACGAGGCCUGACAUUUCACAAGCUGUUGGAGUUGUGAGCAGGUAUAUGCAUGAUCUUGGAAAAGGACAUUGGCAAGCUAUGAAAUGGAUUCUACGGUAUCUUCGAAAAACCGUAGAUGUUGGUUUAAUUUUUGAACAGGAUGAAGCACUUGGUCAGUUUGUAGUUGGAUAUGUUGAUUCCGACUUUGCUGGUGAUUUAGAUAAACGUCGUUCAACUACGGGGUAUCUGUUUACUCUUGCGAAAGCCCCAGUGAGUUAGAAGUCUACCUUACAGUCUACAGUAGCUGUGUCUACUACAGAGGCAGAAUAUAUGGCAGUUACAGAAGCUGUUAAGGAGGCUAUUUGCCUUAAUGGAUUGUUGAAAGACUUAGGAGUUGUUCAAAGUCACAUAAGUUUAUAUUGUGACAGUCAGAGCGCUAUUCAUUUAGCGAAAAAUCAAGUCUAUCAUUCAAGAACCAAGCAUAUCGACGUAAGAUAUCACUUUGUGCGGGAAGUCUUUGAAAAAGGAAAAAUUCUACUUCAGAAGAUUCCGACAGCAGAUAAUCCCGCAGAUAUGAUGACCAAGGUGGUAACAACAAUCAAGUUUAAUCAUUGUUUGAACUUGAUUAACAUCCUGAGAAUUUGAGCACCUUUAGGUGUAUAGCGCUCGAGAGCGCAUUUGGAGGCACUACAAAAGAUAGCUUUAUCGAAUUUGGGGAGUUGAAGGAAGUAUGUGAAGAUGUGAUUAUCCUAAUCAAAUCUUCAAGGUGGAGAUUGUUGAAAAGACAAAUUAAAAGGGGUGUUGAAAAGUCAAAAAAAAUGGGAGGUGCAAGUGGCACCGAAAGAAAAAAUUGGUAGGCAAGUUGUUUAAAAUUGAAUGGGAUAAUUGCAAUUUUGGUCCCUAAUUUUUAGGCCAUUUGCAAGUUAGUCCCUGAACCUCAACUAUAAAUAGGCCUAACCAUUUCUCAUUUACACCAUCCCAACCAAUCUUUCUCUCUUAGUUUUCUCUCUUCUCCCAUUUGAGAAUUCUUAAGGAAUUCUAUUUGUUUGUAAUAUUUUGGAGAUAGUAAAGUUAUCAUCUGGUGUUAGUGCCCGAGGACGUAGGUAUAAUUUACCGAACCUCGUUAAAACUCUUAUAUUCUUUUUGUCCUAUUUUUCUUUCAAUACUUGAGGGUAUAAUAGUAGUAUUUAAUUGUGCUAUUAAAUUACGUUAGAAGGAAUAUUCUGACUAAGGAAAGACUUGGUAUUUAAGAGAUCCUUAUGAUCCACCUCUCUUCCCUGGGAAUUGAACUUUGUGUGAUUUUUUAGUACAAUAAUUUACACGCUUCCGACCCUAUUGGAACAACAAAUUUAGCCAUUUCUAACAGUAUGGCCGCCUUGCUUAGUCAAAAAAAGGCUGAAGCUUUUAAUUCGAAGUCUAAAAGUAACCUUAUCCAUAAGAAAACAUCAGAAUCUUGAGUUUGACAAAACAAAACGAAGGAUCGAUGCAUUGUUUUCUCUCAUCUUCAACGCAAAACAUAUGGUUCCCUUUGACUACCAACAUGUUGCAUGUCGUCGCACCACCCAUUUUCAUUAAUUUCAACUUUAGAAUUUUCUAAUUAAAUCCUCAAAUUAAAUAUCAAUAUUAUAUUAACCAUAUCUCUUUAUCAAUCUAGCUAUUAGUUUAAACAUUAAGCAUCAAUUAGCAUAUAUAAAAAAAUAUUUUAAUCAAAUUGUAAACACAUGUUUAUUUGUCAUAAAUUUUUUUUUUGAAUAGUUAUAAAAUUAGGCCACUUUUUUUUGUCUGUUUGAAACGUGCAUAUAAUAAUAAAGAACUAAAAUCCCACUCGAGAUCAAUAAUUUAUAAAUAUUAGAAAUGGCAGCCUCCCUCGGUACAUAAUUCAUACUCGGUUGACUACCCUUUGCUCUUGGAAUGGCUUGGCGGCUUGCUAAUUUUGCUUUUCUCACUCGAGAUUAAUAAUUUAUAAAUAUUAUAUUUUGGUCUAAUAAAAACGGGAUUGCUUGUUAAAAUUGAAAAGGGUUUCGCAUUAUUGUUGCUUUUAUGAUUGAAAUUCUGAGAUAAUAUUUAAAAUAAUAAAAAAAAUCAAUGAGGUGGUCAUUAAUUUAUGAAGAGAAAAUGGUGUGGAAGAAGGUUGGCUUGUCUCAAUAUUUAUUAUAUAUGCGAAUGAAGGGACAUUCCAACUUAAAAUUGGAUUUAGAAAAUUAAGACUGGCACUCAUCAACCUACUCAAUCACGAGUUUGUUGAAUUAAAUGUGAAUGCAAUAUGCUUAUGGUUUAUUGCUUGGAUGGAAAGAAAUAAAUUGAUGUUUCAUGUAUAAUACGCAACUAGAGUUUAUUUUUACAUUAAGUGAGAUUUAAAGGUUGAUGAUGGUUCACAGAACAAUGUUAUAAACCGUAUACAAGAAUUUAAAAGGGUUAGAAGAAAAUAGAAGGUUUCAAAGAGAGUUUCCAGUGUUUCGAUCAUUCUCAAAUUAGUCAUAAAAUAUUUAUAUAAAAAAAAUGUUAUAAGCCUCUAACACGUAUUUGGAUGUAAUUGAAAAUUUUGUCGUACCAUAUGGCUUAAACAUAAAUUUCUGAAAGUCCCGUUCAUAUUAGUACAUAAGUUAAAUGUUUCAACUCUUUUUAUUUGAAGUUUGAACCAACACUCCUCGGCUCUAUCCGCCACCACCAACCACCACCAUUUUUUUCCCUCAAGAAAGAGCAACCCAAUUAUAGCAACUUGUGUCGUGCAAUAGCCUUGACAAUUUCGAUCACAAUUUACAAAAUUCAGCUCUCUAUAUAAAAUAGUAAUGUAUAGCAGCAUCCUAUACCGACAUAAAUAAAAUAAAAUAAUCCAUCACUUAAUUAAAGAGCAUCAUUUUUUAAUGAUAAAACAAGCUCAAAUAUUAUUAUUGAUAAGUUUAAUCUCAAAUAAUUUCAUUUUCCUUUCAAAUAAAUCCAAGAUAUAAAAUAGAUAAAGCCAAAAGCUGGUAAUAAAUACUAUUAUUGAUAAGUUCCUGAAGCCAACAAUUAGAUGAAUCCCAUUCCCCUCCUACAAUAAAUACUAAACCUAAAAAAGAAUCUCUUACACCUAACACUGUAACAAUGCCUAUGCUUGAAAGGGACAAAGUUAGCCUGGGGAUUUACUCUAUAUAUUAUGCUUGUAUGCUAAAGUACUUUCGUAAGUCUAAUGCCCGACCCCGGUUAGUGAAGGAAAUUAGAAGAGUUUCCACGACCACCAAAUUGCCAUAAUGAUGCCCACGUUUACGAACACGUGGGUGCAGGAGGACGGUGAUGCUACAUUUUGGUCCAAUGCACCUUCAUACACCAUCGCGGUGUUGAUAAGAGGUGGUGUUGUCGUUUCCGUGUUUUGUUGCUGCUCUUGCGAUGAUUUUUGGCUGCAAAUUUUACGUACCAAAAUUAACCGUUAAAACCAAAAAAAAAGGACUCCGAAAACGACAAUAAAAUAACGUAACGUGCCAGUAAAGUAUGGUCCAUUACAGACAUAACGUCUUUUCUAGAGAUUUGUUAAGCAUUUAUUUUAUUUCCCUAAACUGCCCGUUAUCGACAGUACAAUAAUUACUUCGAUGAGCGUGCACUCUCUCAAUACAUUGAUCCAUAAAAAAGAACCAAUUACUGUAACUCAACGGGUAGCUGUGGCAGAGCCGACAUAAGAUAGCAAAUUAGAUUCGUUUUUUUUGCAGACCAAACGUGAAAAAGCUGCGCCGUAAGUGAUACACCACCCUUUGAUGCCAACGUUCAUUUCAUGACAAAAUUACCCUUUCACGUUGGGAUAAGUUAUUCCUAAACUUGAUAAUUUUUUUUCUAAUUUUGUUCCAAAACUUCUUUUUUAUUUAUAUUAAUAUCUGAAUUUAACAAUUAUCAUUACUCUUGAUCCCCGCAACCACCUAAAAUUAUAUGAUUUUUUAUGUGAUGAUGUAGUAGUAGAGUACUGCAAUCACAUGGACCAAAAUUGGGAAAAGUUGUCAAGCUUAGGGACUAAAUUUUGCUUUAUCCCUUUGACCUUAAAUGUUAAAAAAUAAAGUUGGAGGGGGUUGUGGAGAAAAUUUACCUAGUGUUAGGCGAAGGACAGAAAGUAAUUGUAUAAUCAGCGUUGGCGCAUGUGAAGGUACUGGUUUUAUCAUCAUAGGCAUAGCUGUAUGCGCGUGGGCAAGCUGUCUUAAACACCUCCGAGUACGAAGACGGUUUGCAAGUAUCGGGUGUACCAUACGCGCCGCUGCAACAGUACUGAGGGUCGCCGAAGGCUUCGCAAGCACUCUUGCAAGCGACGCCAUCUGUGCCGUCGGUGCUCAUCACCUUUAGUUCGGAAGGGCAAGAGCCAUUAAGGUCAACCACGCAGCCGGUGUUGGUACAGUUUUGUCCCGUGCCACCCUGUGGAACAACCAACAUAGGGAUGUUGUAACCGUCGACCAAACUCACGUCGAAAAAAUCAAGGCCGCCAGCACCGUCCAAUGUGAACUCAGCUAAACUCGCGGGCGGAGCAGCCCCGUUUCCAGAACAUUCCACCUUCCCGGAGCCACAAUCACCGGUAAGGCAGGAAAAUUUCCCGGUGGAAUCCUCGGAGCAAUGGGUUCUACCCCAGAACCGACCACCCCAUGAUGCCGGUGCAGUAAUGGCUUUGGUUUCGCCGCUUUGGAGAGCGAAACCAGUGGUGGGAAGCGUUGGAACACCUGCGUUUGAUAGAAUCCCUGGCCAUACAACAUAAUUGCAUUCGUUUACUAUUGUAAAGGUUGUGGCUUUCACUACUGAUAUGAACGAAUGUGAAAGAAUAAGAACACAGAUAGCAGCAACAAAUGUAUAUUGGGCCAUUAAAGCUUAAAAAUUUGCAAGAAGAAGAGGAAGUUGGGGAAUGUGGAAAACUGCUUCUGCUUCUGCUUCUGCUUCUUCUUCUUUAGAAAUGAGGGUUGGGAGAGUGUUUGAGAUUCUGCAAUGGUAGAUGGAGAACGGUAUUUAUAGUCUAUAGAGAGGGAAAUUGGGCUUGGAAUAAAAAAAUUCAACGGUAGAUUUGAGGAUAAAUAGAAAUAAAAUUAAAAAUUAAAGCCACUUUCAAAUUAAAAUUAAAAAUUAUUUAUUUAAAAGUAUGAUAUAUGAAAUUUUUAUAUAUAAAAAUUUAUAUUAUUUAAAUUUUACAAAUCAAUAUUAUUGUCGAUAUAACAUUAUUUUAUUUCAUAUAUAGUAUAUAUAAAUAAUAAAUAAUUAUAUUUAUCUAAUAUAAAAAUAAAUUGAUAUAUUUAUUUUAUUAUGUACAAUUAAAUCAAAACAAAGUUCCAUGUAAUGUACAUAUAUAACUAUGGUGCCCUUUCUUAUUUUAAGAUUUGAGCCUAAUUUUGUUAUUUAAGAUUUGAGCCUAAUUUUGUUUGAGAAGGAGAAGUAUUUCGAUUAAGUCCUCUCAACAAUCAUGACUCCAAUAUUCAAAUUUAGUCCAAAUGUUUAGUGAAAACUAUUAUUACAUCUUCCAACUAUAUGUUGGCACUACAAUUAAAGUUGUACCUAUAUAAUUUUACUAAAUUAUAUAUAAAAAAUGUUAAGAUUUAUCCGUGGUAUGUAUUAAAGAUUAAUCAAAUAAUAAUAUCAUAUGAUUAUUUUAUUUUAAAUUAAUUAAAUUAAUAAAAGAUAUUAGGACCGAUUCUUGUUGGCAAGAAAAAUUGCAUACUAUGGUGCAAUUUGCAAGAAACAUGAGGGUACGGUCAAAAUUUUGGUGAGCUAGCGUCGCGUCGUUUAAAAUAAUUACCAUCGGCCGUAGAUUUUAUUUUAUUGGAUUAAUGCUUUUCCUAAUAGGAGACAUCCAUCGUAAUUGAUGAUUCAUGCGAUGCGAUGCGAUGCAAUGGGAUGGGAUGUUUGGAAGUGAGAUCCAAUGGAUGUUCAUUAUUUUAUGCAUUGGAUGAAUAAAUGCAUUAGAUGGUGUGAACAAUUUCUUAUUUAUGGUGGGAAUGAGAUUAGCUUGAAGAAGUAAAAACUAAGGUGAAAGGGUACUACAUCCAACUGGUCAGUCAUAAAUUUGUUAACUAAUCAACUCAAUGAAAUCUGCAAUCUUAUUAAUGGAAUUUAACUACCUGUAAUAAAGAUGGCAAUCGGCAUUCCUGAUCAUUGGGGUACCUUCUAUUUAUAUCGAUAUUUAUACUUGCCAUUUAUUAUGCCAACCUCACUUUCUUCCCCCCCUCCGCUCCCCCCCCCCCCAAGUUUUCAUAGGUUAUGCAUGUUGCAUGUCCCAUGUCCCAUGCAUGUUGCAAGCGCAAGACUGCAACUUGUGUUAGUAGAUUAUACAAGUGAUCCAUAAUAAAGAUCAUUAAAUGAUAUUCUUCAUAAUCACACAAUAAAAAUUAACAUAAAAUCAAUUCAAGAAUACAAAGAAUGAGAAAAAGUAUAUAAUAAUAUCAAGUUAUCGUGUUUUAUGUAUUGAUGAUGAUGAUGAUGAUGAUGAUGAUGAUGCAGCAAAGCGAGUCAAGUACGGCUGGCUCAAUUGGUCCCUCCACUAAAAUGACAUUUUAGUAUAGUUGUAGCAAGUAAGCAAGAAAGUGAUAAAAAAAUCUUCUUUGGUUAGCUUUAUCCUUGAAUGCACGUUUUUUGUUUUCCCACUUUUCUCAAUAAACAUAAAAUCCCCGCCUUGUUUUUUACUCAUUUUUUUAAAAUUGAGUGGUUCCUUAAAUUAUAUUAAUCUAAUCCAUUGCCCCCAUCCUAGAAAUAACCAUAGUGUAUAUAGUUCUAAAAAGGAAGGAAAUAAAUAAACCUAUUUAAUAGUUGAACGGACCAUUGACUCCUGGUCAGUUUCUUAUAAAGCAAAAUUGGUCUCACCUGAAAACAACUACUCUUUAAGGAUAGAACUAACAUAUAGCUACCACCAUUUACCUUAAUUAAAAAAAUAUAGGUAUGGUGAAAGAUGGUAAACAAGUUUUAUGUAGAAUAUAAUAUGUGUCGCGCAGCCACCGACCGCCUUAAACGACCAGAUUUUUAUGCUAAAUUUUGCAGUUGGCAUCCUUAGCACGACAGCUUGGAGACCGAUACAGGGAUAUCAUGGUGACCCCGAACUCAUUGUGUGUGUGUUUUUUAAUGUUAUUGGCAGUGGGUCGUUCUCGCUUACGGGGAUUGCUAUAGGAUUACACUCAGCCUAAGACCGUUCAACACCAAGCUGUUUAAAGUCAUUUAUUUUAAUUUAAAGUCGUUUUAGAUUUGAUAUUUAGUUUCAUUUUAGAGCUCCGACUAUCUAUUUGUCCACAGUUAACAUGUGACAAGAUUUUGUAUAACUAGCAUUUUGUGAGGCAGGAAAUUAUCCUUUUCUUUGAAUCCAUAUAAGUUGAAUCUAAAUUUAUUUUUCUCUAAAUUAAUAUAAAUCUAAAAUAAAUUUAGAAUUAAAAUUAUUCGAACCUAAAAUAACUCGAUUUACAAAACGUCAAACUUUAAUUUGAAACUAUCAAAACCCUGAACAACUUAAACUAAAAAUAAUCUAAAUCUAGAACAACCCAAAUCAAAUAUUAACAUAAAUCGAAAUAAUUUGAAAAUAUUAAAACUCAAGUUUAUUAAUACCCAAAUUAACUUGAUUGAAAAUUAUCUCAAGGCACUCAAUUGAUAGAACGUAGAUUAUUAAGUUUAGAAAUCAAUUUGAAGCACUCAAUUCAAAUUAAUCUAAUCCCAAAUUGAUAUAAACUUAAAUCUAAUUUAAUUUCGAAACGAUCUGAACCUAAAAUAAUUGAAUGAGCAACUUGAAAUAACCAGGCUUGAAGUGACCUAACUCAUAAUGUUCCAGCACAAGUGAAACAUGUACUUAAAAUUAAAUGAUAGUUACAGUGGUAGAAUCCAAAUGAUACACCUCUUGCUAUUUGGUUGAAAACCCUAAUCGCUUAAACUUUAAGACCACUCACAUUUGAACAGCAAAAUGCUUUUUUUGUAAGUGUUAUUCGAUGUUAGUUAUAUAACAUAAAUCACUCACUAAAUAUUUAGAUUUUAGACCACAAAUAUAAGUGUGUGUAAUACAAAAGCACCCAUCGUUUUCGUUAUUUGAUAUCGAAACAGCUGGUUCACGAGUGGACUAACAAGAGGUUAUGAUAGAUUCAUCAUUACCCAUAUUAAUACAUGUGAACUUUAUUACCAAAAAAAAGUGGGUUUUAUUCGCCGACUAUGUUGAAACAAAAUUAAAAAAUAUUCUAAAGAGUUUCAAGAGUAGAAGCAUGAAACAAGGUUAUUAAUGUGACCAAUAAGAUUUUUAAACUGCAUGGGAUUUGUUGAAAUGAUGGAAAUUCAUAUUACUACGCACCCAAAUGAGAUGUCAUCAUCGUAUUGCUAUUAUUCCAACAAUGUGAAUAGAGGAAAACUUUAACCAUUUUAUUGAUGCAUUUGCCUAAUGUGUUUAAAUUCAACAUUUUAAAAUGGCAAUUAAAUAAUGGAGUAUUAUAAGCAGUAAGCACACAGAUCUCUGUUAUUUGUCUGAUUGCAGUUUACAACAUUGGGAAACGACUGUCGCUGAAUAAAGCCCAAAAAUGUGUAGAUUUUAACUGAAACUCAGGCCCAGUAAUUUGUAGAAGACUAUAAAAAACCCAACCAUAGGAAUUUCAGUCUUUUAGCCCAGAAUUUUGUGGAUUUGCUAAGUGCCUGAAAACGGAGAGGACCCAGGCCGGCCUAAUGAAAUGAGCCCAAUACCCAUAUUUUUGUUAUAAACUAAUAUGGUUUCACCUAGGUUUCGUUUGUGUGUAUAUUUAAAAUUUAAUUUUUAUAUUUUUAUUUUUAAGAAUUUAAUUUUUUUAUUUUCUAAAAUUAAAAAUUUAGGUCAAUUAUUAACACCAUUAGAAUUAUUUCAUGUUGGAGUGACUUUCAAAAAAAAAAAAAAACUCGAUAUCCACGUAAGAAAAUAAUAGUGUAAUUGGACUGAAUUUAAUAAAAAAUUUUAAUAGCACUAACAAUUUUUAAAAAUUCAUAUUAUUUUAAUUAAAAUAAAUUAUUUAGAAUAAGUAAUGAAAUUACAAAAAUUAAAGUAUCAAGCUAUGUGAAAAUUAAAGUAUAUUGUAUAAAUCACCUAUAUUUUUACUUAAUUAAUAAUCGUAUUAUUGAAUAUUUUAUUUCAUAAUAGAUGGGUUUAAGUUUAUUGAGAUGGAGAUAAAAUGAUAACAUUACCCAUAUUUUUAUUUAAUUAGUAAUGAAUAAACUAAAAUUUAUACUAAUAAUUAUGAGUAAUUAAAACAAGAAUUAAUAUUUGAUAUAUCGAUGAUGGCCAAAAGAGAAUUUAUGGGUUGACAGCUUAGGACUUCGGUUCUCCUAAAUUUUAUAAAAAUAUUUUAAGCCCUUUUGAGUUUUAAUUUUUUUUUAUUCUAAUAUUCUAAUUAGUGUUUAAAAUUUGAUUUCUUUUAUAGAAUUUAUAAUUUUUAAUGAUAAAUUUUAUAAUAUUUUUAGUUUGAUUUAGUAGACUAAUACAAGGUAAUAUCAAAAUAUUAGUUUAGUAAAAAUAAAGUUUAAUAAUUGCAACCAAAUAUAAAUAUUAAAUAGUAUCUUAGAAACAUGUCAUGCUAGGAUACAUGUCCUGAAUGUAACUCGGAUAUCUUGUUAAGGGAUUGUAACGAACAAUGGGAAGAAGGGUCUUAAAAUUGAGUGUAUGGGGCGAGCCUCUUAGCUCGGGUUAGUUGGUCUUCUUCUCUUUAUCUUUUGAUAUCCAAUUCUUUUGGUUUAAUGAAAGUUACUCUUUAUUCUAAAAAUAAACUUAAAUAAUCAUAAUAUUUAGUAAAAAUUGAGCAUUUACCUUAUUUUGUUUUUCCUAAAUUUUGGAAAUCAAGAUUAUCACGACUUUAAAAAUAUUUCCAAAUACACCCCUAUAUAAUUCGAGUUGAAAAAGUUAUUUUUAUACAAUAAUAUUUGUAUUUUAAUUUUAGGACAUAUUUAUUAAUUUUUAAGAAUAUAAUUUUAUGUUGUUUUACUAAUAUCAUUUAAAUAACUUGAAAAUUGUAUUCAUUAGAGAUAAUUUCUUAUACAUUUUGACUUAAUAAAUAUUUAACUAAAUUACUAAUAUUUAUUACUAAUUAUUUAUAUAAAUAUUUUUUCGAUCAUAAAAAAUAUAAAUAAAAGUAGAUAAAAUUACAUAUAUCUUAUUAUUAAAUUGGACUAAUAUAUUAUUAUUGCGCAUAAAUUUAAAAGGAGUCAUAUUUUUAAUUUUAUUAGUACCAUUUUUUUGGGUUAAAAUUAAAAUAAAAAAUAUCUCUUAAUUUACGCGGUAAAAACUUUUAAAAACAUAAAAGCCUAAGCUAGCUUAAAACUUUCCUCUAAAUCCCACACCGACUAGCGAGACAAGCAAGGAGCUGACGUUUUGUAUAUAAAUUAGAUACGCGUCUACGGGAAGAAUCAUGAUCCUUCAGGCAGUUAACGGGAUAUGAUGAGUGGUCAUUACUCGCAAGGCAUGCGGGAAGAGUGUCCGCCCCAACGCCUGGUUACGACACUUGGGCACUCCCCUUGUCGCCACCUGAUCCCAAUCUUGAAGGAAAACACCCAAAUUUAUAAUCGAGUUUAAAUUUUCAUUAACAUAAGCUUUUCAUUAGAUAAAACUAGGGAUUACAAAUAAACGAGUACGUAGGUUACAUAGCAUGAACGUCUGCUUAACUAUUUGAUUCGUAGUUCAUGACUCAGCAAUGGGUUACUAAAACCCAAAGCAAACCAUCAACGUAAAUAAACAAACCAGGGCAACACUUGGAAUCCCAGUCUUCUUUUUAACCCCAUUAUCAAACGCAACGUUUUUCAUUGAGCCCCUUUGGUUGGUGCCCCCAAAUGGCUGACUGAUACUAGAAAACGGCUGAUUAAACCCGGCAGAGUAAGGCUGGUUCGUAGCCGAAUACGGCUGGUUCAACCCUGACGACAGUGGCUGGUUAAUGCCUUGUUGUGGAUAGUUUGGGUCUUUUUGCUGUUGAUUGUUGGGUAUGGGUCCCACUAUGUGGGAAACCCAUAUUUUCUGGCACAAAUGUUUUGCCUUCCUUUUUCUUUUGGUUUUGUCAAAAGCCAAUUUUUUGGCUUAUUAACGGGUGUUGGGCAGAAAUUUUUCUGCAGAGAGCUAAAAGAAAAAAUAGAGAGAAAGAGAAUAGAAAAAAAUCAGAUUUUCAAGCUUGGUGCAGCAGUGAUCAACUCUUCGAUCGAAGGUCCAUCCGUGGUUCGAUUGAGCUGAUUUUUGGACAGCAGCUAGGUGAUAAGGUGUUCUUGACUUUGUACGGUCGGAUUUUUCAUCCGAGUCUUGUAGCGUCGGAAAUACCCAUUUUUCAGCAGCUACGUUUUUGGUGAUGUUCUCUCAUUUUUCUCUCUUUUGCUAAAGAUUACAUGUUGUUAGCCUUGUCGGAGUUGAAUGCUUGUUGUAGGCUUGAUAUUGUGAUCUUGUAGCUGAACAUUUGAUGAUAGUGGAGCUCUUUAUCGGACUCUAAAGUCCCGUGGUUUUUACCCUUAAUUUAGAGGGGUUUUCCACGUAAAAAUAUUGGUGUCUCUAUUUAUUUUUGUUGUGGUUGCAUUAGUUGAUUUGUGGUUGAUUAAGGUUGCUAGAGAACAUAUCUUGUGCUAUUGUGCUUGCCAUAAUUUUUACAGGAGUUAUAAGGAGAGAAAGAACACCGGUUGUGCUUUCGCUUUGUUUCGGUUGUUCGGUUUCUUCCCAACAAACUGGUAUCAGAGCUUGGUUAUUGUGUCAGAUAAUUAUGGAAAUUAAUACGAGCAAGAUGAUUAUGUUGAAUGGCACAAAUUAUCAACUUUGGCGGAAUAAAAUGAAGGACUUGUUGUUUGUGAAGGCUUUGCAUCUUCCGGUCUUUACUACUCAAAAACCCGAUUCGAAAAGUGAUGAAGAAUGGGAAUUUGAGCAUCAACAAGUGUGUGGCUUUAUUCGGCAAUUUGUUGAAGAAAAUGUUUACAAUCACAUUGAUCAGGAGACACAUGCUCGAACAUUGUGGGAGAAGCUUGAAAGCUUGUAUGCUUCGAGGUCGGGCAAUAACAAGUUAUUUUUGCUGAAGAAAAUGAUGGCGCUGAAAUAUAAAGAAGGAAUGUCUAUAGCUGACCAUGUUAGUGAAUUUCAGAGUAUGAUGAAUCAGUUGCUUGGUAUGGGUGUCAAAUUUGAUGACGAGAUUUUAGGACUUUGGUUGCUUGCUACUCUACCAGACUCUUGGGAGACCUUUCGAGUCUCACUCAUUAAUUCUGCCCCACAGGGUAUUAUUACUUUGGAUUUGGCUAAGAGUGGUGUGUUGAAUGAAGAGGUUAGAAGAAGAUCUCAGGGUUCUACAUCACAGUCCGAGGUGUUGGUUAUCGAGAACAGGGGGAGAAACAGAGACAAAGAUGGAAAGGGUAGAGAUAAAAGCCGAAGCAAGUCAAGAUCGAGAUACAAGAAUCUUGAGUGUCAUCAUUGUGGUAAGAAAGGUCAUAUCAAGAAAUAUUGCUUCAAGUGGAAGAAAGAGAACAAAGGUGGUGGUGAUAAACACGAUCGGAAUGACGAUGAAAAAUUCGAGCGUGUUGCUACUGUUACUCGUGAAGAUCUGUUAGUUAUUUGUGAUGAGAAUUUGGUCAACCUAGCAUGCGACGAGACUAGUUGGGUGAUUGAUACUGGUGCAUCACUUCAUGUCACGUCGAGGAAGGAAUUCUUCACAUCUUAUACUCCUGGUGAUUUUGGGGUAUUGAAGAUGGGUAAUGAUGGUUUGGUUUCGGUUAUUGGUAUGGGAGAUGUUAGCUUGGUAAGUAACAAUGGAACAAAGUUAACUCUCAAGGAUGUCAGACAUGCACCGGAUGUCCGUUUGAAUUUGAUUUCUGCAGGAAAACUUGAUGAUGAGGGAUUCUGUAACACCUUCAGUGAAGGGCAGUGGAAGCUGACUAAAGGCUCCUUGGUUGUGGCUCGAGGAAAGAAGAGCUCAAAUUUGUACUUGAUGCAAGCUUUGACUUCUCGAGAGACGGUGAAUGUGACACUGAAUGACAACUCAACUGAGUUGUGGCAUAAACGACUCAGUCACAUGAGUGAGAAGGGGCUUAGCUGUUUAGCGAAGAAGAAUCAACUUUCGGGUUUAAAGAAUGCUACACUGAAGAAUUGUGCUCAUUGUCUAGCAGGAAAGCAGAAAAGAGUUUCAUUUAGAAGCCAUCCUCCUCAUAGGAAAUCAGAGUUGCUAGAGUUGGUCCAUUCAGAUGUUUGUGGUCCGAUAAAAGUAAGAUCACAUGGUGGUGCACUUUACUUUGUGACUUUCAUUGAUGAUUGUUCAAGAAAGCUAUGGGUUUACACUUUAAAGUCUAAAAAUCAAGUCUUUGAGGUGUUUAAACAGUUUCAAGCAUCAGUUGAAAGGGAAACUGGGAAGAAGUUGAAGUGCAUUCGUACUGAUAAUGGUGGUGAGUACACAGGGUCGUUUCAUGAGUAUUGUCUGCGACAGGGAAUCAGACAUCAGAGAACACCACCAAAGACUCCACAGUUAAAUGGGUUAGCUGAAAGAAUGAACCGAACAUUGAUUGAGAGAGUCAGAUGUUUGUUGUCAGAUGCAAAGUUACCAAGAUCGUUUUGGGCUGAAGCUUUGAAUACAGUGACACAUGUGAUAAAUCUGUCUCCUAGUGUUCCUUUGAAAGGUGAUGUGCCAGAUAGAGUUUGGUUUGGUAAAGACGUGUCAUAUGAUCACCUACGUGUGUUCGGUUGUAAAGCAUUUGUUCAUGUUCCAAAGGAUGAAAGAUCCAAGUUGGAUGCCAAGGCUCGACAAUGCAUUUUUAUUGGUUAUGGUCUAGAUGGUGAGUUUGGUUAUAGACUCUAUGAUCCAGUUCAGAAGAAACUCGUGAGAAGCAGAGAUGUUGUCUUCAUUGAGGAUCAGACCAUUGAUGACAUUGAUAAAACGGAGAAAGUGGAUUCACAAGGUAGUGGUGACUUGAUCGAUGUGAAUCCGGUUCCCUUAGACUCUUCACCAGAUCCUAUCCAGGAUGAUGUGCAUGGUGAUGUUAGUGGUGACCAUCAGACUAUAGGUGACUUUGAUACUCCCAUGGAUGAUGUUGUGAAUGAUCAACAACAAGCACCUAUAGCUCCACCAGCAGUUCCACUUCGAAGGUCUUCCAGAGAUCGACGAUCUUCUGUCAGGUAUUCUCCUGAUGAAUAUGUUCUUUUGACUGACGGGGGAGAACCUGAAUGUUAUGAAGAGGCUAUGGAGAGUGAAUGCAAAGAUCAGUGGGUUGAAGCGAUGAAAGGCGAACUUCAAUCAUUGCAUGAGAACCAUACUUUUGAAUUGGUGAAACUGCCUAAGGGCAAAAGAGCUUUGAAGAAUCGGUGGGUUUACAGGUUGAAGCAAGAAGAGAAGUCUUCAUCUCCACGAUACAAAGCUAGAUUGGUCGUCAAGGGUUAUACUCAGAAAAAGGGGGUUGAUUUUGAAGAAAUAUUUUCUCCGGUUGUGAAGAUGUCCUCUAUCAGAACUAUACUGAGUUUGGCAGCUUGUUAUGACCUAGAGGUUGAACAAAUGGAUGUGAAAACUGCUUUUCUUCAUGGUGACUUGGAAGAAGAGCUUUACAUGGAGCAGCCAGAGGGUUUUGUUGCACAAGGGAAAGAGGACUAUGUGUGCAGAUUGAAGAAGAGCUUGUAUGGUUUGAAGCAAGCUCCAAGGCAAUGGUACAAGAAGUUUGAGUCUGUUAUGGGGGAGCAAGGCUACAAGAAGACUACUUCUGAUCAUUGUGUGUUUGUUAAGAGAUUCUCUGGUGAUGAUUUUAUUAUUCUUUUGCUCUAUGUUGAUGAUAUGCUUAUUGUUGGUCAGAAUGCUUCUAGAAUUGAGAAGUUGAAACAAGAGUUGAGUAAAUCCUUUGCAAUGAAGGAUUUGGGGCCAGCAAAGCAAAUUCUUGGCAUAAGACUGACACGUGAUAGAAAGGCCAAGAAAUUAUGGUUAUCACAAGAGAGGUACAUUGAGAAAAUACUUCAAAGGUUUAGUAUGGACAAAGCUAAAGCGGUGAAUACUCCCUUUGCUAUGCACUUUAGAUUGAGUGUUAAGCAUAGUCCUUCCACAGAAAAGGAGAAGGAAGAGAUGCAGAAAAUUCCUUACUCUUCAGCCGUGGGUAGUUUGAUGUACGCAAUGGUUUGCACGAGACCAGACUUGGCUUAUGCCGUUGGUACAGUUAGUCGGUUUCUUUCUAAUCCAGGCAGAGAGCAUUGGAAUGCAGUGAAGUGGAUUAUGAGAUAUCUUCGUGGCACUUCCAACAUGAAACUUUGUUUCGGCAAUGAGAAACCUGUUCUUGUUGGGUAUACAGAUUCAGACAUGGCCGGAGACAUUGACUCGAGGAGAUCUACUUCAGGUUACUUAAUCACUUAUGCAGGGGGAGCUGUGGCAUGGCAAUCGAGACUGCAAAAGUGUGUUGCAUUGUCCACCACCGAAUCAGAGUUCAUUGCAGCAACCGAAGCGUGUAAGGAGAUGCUUUGGAUGAAGAAGUUUGUGCAUGAGCUUGGUUUUACUCAGGAGAAGUAUGUCCUGUACUGUGAUAGCCAGAGUGCUAUUCAUCUUGGUAAGAACUCAACUUUUCAUGCUAGAUCUAAGCAUAUUGAUGUGAGGUACCAUUGGAUACGAGAUGUUCUUGAAGCUAAGCUGUUAGAGCUUGAGAAGAUACACACUAAUGAUAAUGGUGCUGAUAUGUUGACGAAGGCCUUACCAAGAGGAAAAUUUGAAGCAUGUUGUUUGACCUCCGGUAUGGAGGCAUUCCCCACAUAGUUGGAGGGGGAGAUUUGUUGGGUAUGGGUCCCACUAUGUGGGAAACCCAUAUUUUCUGGCACAAAUGUUUUGCCUUCCUUUUUCUUUUGGUUUUGUCAAAAGCCAAUUUUUUGGCUUAUUAACGGGUGUUGGGCAGAAAUUUUUCUGCAGAGAGCUAAAAGAAAAAAUAGAGAGAAAGAGAAUAGAAAAAAAUCAGAUUUUCAAGCUUGGUGCAGCAGUGAUCAACUCUUCGAUCGAAGGUCCAUCCGUGGUUCGAUUGAGCUGAUUUUUGGACAGCAGCUAGGUGAUAAGGUGUUCUUGACUUUGUACGGUCGGAUUUUUCAUCCGAGUCUUGUAGCGUCGGAAAUACCCAUUUUUCAGCAGCUACGUUUUUGGUGAUGUUCUCUCAUUUUUCUCUCUUUUGCUAAAGAUUACAUGUUGUUAGCCUUGUCGGAGUUGAAUGCUUGUUGUAGGCUUGAUAUUGUGAUCUUGUAGCUGAACAUUUGAUGAUAGUGGAGCUCUUUAUCGGACUCUAAAGUCCCGUGGUUUUUACCCUUAAUUUAGAGGGGUUUUCCACGUAAAAAUAUUGGUGUCUCUAUUUAUUUUUGUUGUGGUUGCAUUAGUUGAUUUGUGGUUGAUUAAGGUUGCUAGAGAACAUAUCUUGUGCUAUUGUGCUUGCCAUAAUUUUUACAGGAGUUAUAAGGAGAGAAAGAACACCGGUUGUGCUUUCGUUUUGUUUCGGUUGUUCGGUUUCUUCCCAACAAUGAUAGCCCAAGUGGGAUUGUUUCCCGUUGUCCCCAACAGGUUUAGCAAAUGGAGCAUUGUUGCCCACAGGUUCAGCAUUGUUCCCUUCGUUUUCAGGGAGGGUGGUUGUAGUUGCUUCUGCCUUGGUUAAUGCGAUUGGGAUUGUGAAACAGAGUACCACAAGACAUAAAAGGAGACAGGGAUUUGGGGAUUUGAAUAUUUCCAUCAUUGUGAAAAAAAAUGAAAAAGAGGUUAAGCUGUUAUGGAUUUUGAUGCUACACGAUGGUUUAUAUAGAGAAUGAAAACCGUAAGGACCAUUAUAAUUGAAAAUGGAGCAGUUGGAAGUACUAGGAAUGUAAUAAACAGAGGAUAAGUAAGGAGUUGGUAGGAAUAUGGUCAAAUUAUGAUUUUGGUCCUUCUAGUAUAUGCUUAAAAUAGGUAUUUAGUCAAUGUAUUUUAAGUUAACAUAGUUUAAUUGGUCUAUUUUUAUAAUUUCAUUAAUAAGUCACUAUUUUUUUGUCAAAAUGUUGAAGUGGGUUUCACUAAAAAUACUCUUUCCAACACUCAUGCAAACAUAAUGAAUUGGAAUAGGUGUUUUUAAGAAAAAUUUAUGUCAACAUUUUAAUCAGAAUAGUUAAUGUUGUUCACUAUUUCGAUUAAUUAUUGACAUUAUAAAAGUAGAGAGAUUGAAUCGUGUUAAAAGGUUAAUAUAGCAUUAGGUACUUGAGUUGGUUUGAAUAUUUAAUUUGAUACCCAAUCAAAUGACAUCAUGUGGCCUAAUGAAUGUUUGACAAGUGUGUUCCAAUACAAAAACACAAGUACUUAAUCUAGACAAAAAAGCUUUCGUAUCAAAACUGAACAUUGAAGCUAAACUUAAGUAUUUAUUAGGGACAAUAAAAACUCAAGUAUGAAAUUGAUAAAACUUGGGUACUAUAGUGAAUGUUGAAGCCAGGACAAAAAAAAAACUCAAGCACCAAAUUGAACAUUAAAACUAAACAGAGGUAGAAGAUAAUGUAUUAAUCCCAUGCUAAACUAUGGUAUAAAAGCUAAAUUUAAAAUUUAAACAUAGUAGAAGGACUAGAACCAUAAAUUGACCUUAAAAAACACAAGUCAUUAUGUAACAAAUUCAACCGUACAUAAUAAACAACUAUUUUGAAUAGGUAAAAGAUAUGGCCACAUCAAUUGAAGUUUGGUUUCAGCAUUUCAGUUGAGUGUAGUAGGCAUAACCAAUUCAAUACAACUUUACUAGUUCUGUAUUUUGAUAUAAUAUAGCGAAAAUGAUGCAUUUAGGGAUGGUGUGUAUUUCUUAAUGUGUAAAAUGGAAGAAAAAUAAAGCCUUUUUGCAGACUUGUUAAUUAAUGCUAUUAUGAUAUGGCGAUUUCAACAUCUGUCUUAUGGAUAGCAUUCAAGUUUACUGCUAAUAGGAAACUUAAUUGUGGAUUAGGGUGUGAUAAAAAAAUAAAUAUUAAACUUGUAAUUUUUCAUACCAAUAUUAAUAAGUAAAAUGCUUGAUUGUUGCUUACAUGUGUACUCCAAAGAAAAUGCUUGUUUUUACAUUAAAGCAUCCCUUAAAGUGCAAAGUAUGUUCCUAUCUUUGUUAUAGAAAUACUUGUAAUCUGGAUAAGUAGAAAGGCUUUUAUCUUUUAUAAAUGUAAUAGAGAAACCCAUUUUAUUUCACUUGCAAAGAGCUGAGCUAUGGAAUUACACUAAUUACCUUGGCUUUCUUCAAAAAUGGCCUUACACCUUUUAAUUGAAACUAAUUGGGUAUUUCUCCUGUUUGCUUGGGAAAAACAGCCCCCAAUGUUUCUCAUAUGCCGGUUCUUUAUUAUUCUCAUCAAACAUCGCAAACAAGUAAACUUCUAUUGCUUUUCCAGGUUUCCUGGGAGUCCCCUUGCGCUGAUUCACAUGUCGAACCAAAUUCGUAUUAUAAGUCCUCGCAUUAUUAACACUCGUAGCCGUUCCACCGGCCGACGGCCACCCACUUUCCGAAACAACAAUGUCCAAACUUCCCCCACCAGCCCUCUCCAAGGCAGCGUAAAAUGCAUCCAUCAUCGCGUCGAAAAGGUUCUGGUACCGAUGUGGACCAUCUGUCACAACGACAGACGGUGCCGUAAAGAGAGCAUAGUCUAGACGAACAUCUCUUGGAUUUUCCAUGUGGCUAAAGUAGGGAUAUACAUUAACAAGUAAUGGAGCUCUGAUGUUCCUCAAGAAGGUUAUGACUGGACCGAGAAGUUGUUGGUAAUCGCCACGAAGUUUGCCUUGCGACGGAGGGAAAGAUACCUCCAUAGCACCGAAAAACGUAGCCGUAGAAACUUUGAUUUGGUUCCCUAAGCCUGCUUUAACUAUUGCAUUAUGAACAUUCUGCAUUGCUGGGAAAAGGAAUCGAGCAAAUGGAUCCCAUGGCUUUACUUCGUUCCCGACAGCGAUGUAUCGAAAAUUAACGGUGCUGUAUCGCCUGACGUUAUCUUGAACCCAUCGAUCAGCAUUGGCUUGACUAGCUGCAAGGUAUUCGAGUCUCGGAUUCGAAACAUCUAAUAGCAGCUUGAUGUUGGUACCUCCGAGAGCUCGUAGGGCAGCUUCGUUGGGGGCGUAGAGUCGCGAUUGUUGGAUGCCUUUUCUUCUGUAAAGAUCGAUUACUUCGGCUGCUGGUGGCAAGUUAUUUCCCAUCAUUCCAUAACAAACACCAACUUGGGCAUCUGCAUGACACUAGUUCCACAAUGCCUUAAUUUUAAAAUCAAACAUUUUACACUUUGAAUAGCUUUUCGGAUUGGACUCUAAAAACUCAAAACUGAGUUCAACAGAAUAUUUUAACGUAAAUCUUUUAUCGCUUUACUCGUGGUUCACUCCAUACUCACAAUAUCGAUUAUAGAAAGUAUCUGCUAGUAGUUUAGGGGACAACGAUUUACUCUUACCAAUGGUGCGUGUGAUAUAAAAAAAUACAGAUUUUUAAUUUUUAAAAUUCAUAAAAAUAUUUGUCUUCUGAUUAGGGAUUUUUAAAAAUUUCACCAAAUUAAUCUAAUUUUAUAAAUUUCACCAAAUAAUUUCUAGUUAUGGGUCUGUAUAAAUGAUUCACUAAGGAACAUAAAGAGUGUAAAGAAUGAAAGGGAGACCUGUGGUUUUGAAGAUAGCCGAUAGCAACCCAGAAAGCAGAAGAAGCAUAGUUGAAUGCAUGAUUGAAUUGGCCAUUAGCUAAUAAAAGAUUUUACUAUUCUAGAAGUGCUGUGAUGCCUCUAACACCAACUCUCACCACCCUUUUUAUACAGAAAUUACAGCCCAGGAUGGUCUGCUUUGGCAGGUCUAGUAUUCCUAUGAAAAUUAUGGUACAUGAAUUAAAACUCUUACCACCAUUAAUCCAAGCCUAACUUUGCCAUUUGUUUAUUGGCAGUUUUUGAGUGCCCUGCCCACUCGUAUACUUCACUGAAAAGUCUUUGGUUCAUCAUCUCCUUUUCUUAUUUAUUUAUAUAUAUUGAAUACGAAAUUAAUAUCAAUGGAAGACUUUAAUAUAACUCAUUCUCUACUCAAAUUUCGAUUUUAGUUAACCAUUUUCCAGUGUCAUUAAGGAUAAUGUAAAUUUAACUCUUAAUAUUUACAUAUUUUAUUAAUUUAAUCCUUAUUUUUUAAUUAAAAUUAACUCUUAAUCUUUUGAAAAAUAGUCAAAUUUGAAAAGAGUCAAAUUAAUUUUUUUUAAUAGAAAUAUAGAUUAAAAUGUUAAAUUUUAAAACAUAAAAAUUUGAUAUUUUUUAAAAAAGUAAUGAUUAAAUUUAAAUAAAAGAAUUAAAUUAAUAAAAAUAUAAAUAUUGAAAAUUAAAUUUGUUAUUAUACCUAUAAUUAAUAAUAUGACUUUGAAAAACUUGAGUCACAAGUCAAAUAAUGGCAUUUUAUUAGAGUCUUGUAAUUAGGUCGGUCCAUGUUUGAAUGGAAGAUAUUUUUUUAAGAUGAAGAAUUAAUACUUGCCGCAUGUAUAGCUGUAGGGCAUAUUUUUACUAAAAUUACUUAAAUUACUAUAUAUCAAGUCUUUUCUACACACAAAUUAUGUAUGAAUGAGAUAAUGUGUCAUUUAUAUUUUAAAAAUAUGUAAUGCGAUCCUUAAACUAUUAAAACUCAAAUCAGAAAGUAGUGGGAUAAUAGCCGAAACCAUUUUAUUUAACUUAGAAAUGAGCAGAACGCAUCCAAUUAUAUAAAAUUACAGUAGACAUCCACGUUUAUUUGCCUCUAUAUAUGGCCUAUGCUGCCUUCUUUAGAGGCGAUGACAAUGGUAAACUUUAGUAUACCCGAGACUGAGAAAAAUGGCUUUACCGGUUUUAAUUGAAACUAAUGGAGUAUUUCUCCUGUUUAUUUGGGAAAAACAACCCCCAAUGUUUCUCAUAUGCCGGUUCUUUUUCAUUCUCAUCAAACAUCGCAAACAGGUAAGCUACUAUAGCUUUUUCGGGUUUCUUCGGAGUCCCCUUACCCUGGUUCACAUGUUGAACCAAUUUCGUGUUGUAAGUCUUUGCGUUAUCGACACUCGUGGCCUGUCCACCGUCUGAUGGCCAACCAGUUUCCGAAACAACAAUGUCCAGUGAUCCCCCACCGGCUUUCUCCAGGGCAGAGUAAAAGGUGUCCAGCAUCGCGUCGAAAAGGUACUGGUACUGCAACGAACCAUCCUGCACAACAGCAGACGGUGCCGUAAAGAGAGCAUAGUCAAGAGGAACAUUGGAGUCUCCGAUGUGGCCAAAGUAGGGAUAUGUGUUAACAAGCAAUGGAGCUUGAUUGUCCCUCAAGAAAGUUAUGACUGGGCCAAGAAGUUUCUGAUAUUCAGGAUCUAAACUGCCCUUCGAUGGAGGGAAAGAUGAUUUAUCAAUAGCAGCGAAAAACGUAGCGGUGGAAACUUUGAUCUGAUCCCCUAGGCCUGCAUUCACUAUUGCUUUACGAAUGUUCUGCAUUGCCGGAAAAAGGGAUUGAGCAAAUGAAUCUGUAGGCUUUACUUCAUUCCCGACAGCGAUGUAUCGGAAAUUAACAGUGUUGUAUUUCUUGAUGUUGUCUUCAACCCAUUGAUCAGCAUUGGCUUGACUAGCAGCAACAGAUUCAAGGUUUGCACUCGGAACAUCUAACAACAGCUCAAUGUUGGUACCACCGAGGGCUUGCAGAGCAUCUUGGUUCGGAUCAUAGAGCCGCAUUCGUUUGAUGCCCUUUUGUUGGAAAAGGGCGAUAACUUCUGCUGGUGGUGGCAGGUUAUUUGCCUUCAUUCCAUAACAAACACCAACUUCAGCACCUGCAUCACAUUAAUUCCACAAUGCCUUAAUUUUAAGAUCGUCUUACCCUUUAAAUGGCUUCUGAUUUAGGUUUAGGGUUUUUAUUUAUUUAUUUAAGGAUCCAAACCAAGACUGUUUUUAAAUGAACACUUCAACUCAAACUUGUGGUUCAGUCGACUUAUAAUUUAGGGUUAGGAGUUUAAUUUGAUAAUGGUAAAUUUUAAAUUUUAAUCCAUCCAAUAUGAUCUCAUUUGAGAUUUGACAUAAUUUGAUUAUCUACUUUUAUAGUAACAUUAGUUAACUAAAUAGUUAUCAUCCUCAACUAUUUCGAGAUAGAUUUUUUGUGUUAAAAAUGUGUUUUUAAAAAAAUAAUCAUAUAUACACAUAUAAAAUAAUAGUCAAAUUAUAGUUUUAACUAUAUUCAUAUUUUGGAUUUAAUAUUUACAUUUUAAUUUAAAAUAAUUUAGUCAUCUACUUUUGACAUUAGCAAGUCCAAUUUAAGAAUAUCUUUAAUUGUUCUAGUUAAAAUGCUAAUAUGAGUUUUUUUUUUAAAGCACUUUUCUAACACACACAGAAUCUUUUUUAGAAUGAAAGUUGGAAUAAGUAUUUCUAAGAAAAAAAAAAUCGACCUCAGCAUGUUAAUUGAAAUAAUUAAGGGUGUCAAUUGUUUGGACCAACUAAUAAUAUUAUAAGAACACAAGAAUCAAAUUAUGUCAAAUUAAAAUAUUGAUACUAAAUCCGAAAUUUAAAUAUAGUAGUGAGACCAUAAUCAUAAUUUGAUUUAAAAAAUUUCUAUUUAACAGAAUCAUUUGUCAUUUAGUUUAAUAAAAAGUUUGAUAUCGUUUUAAAAAAAAAUUCAAACGAGCUACCAGUUAGACCUAAAAUUUUAGAUUUGAAUAAUAGAGGAAUUAAAUUCCCAAAAAUAAAAAUAGAAAAACUAAAUCUCAAAGUUACAAAGAAUACAAAUAUUUCAAACAUAUUUUAAUCUUAAAUUUUUUACUCUAUUAUUUGAUAACAAACCAAAUGCAAAGCAUGGACGAACCAUGCUAAUUUUAAAAAAGUUAUAUUUAUAUAUAUAUGAUGUAACUUGAUUCAUUGAAAAAAUAUAGAUUUAUGAGAAAUGAUUGUAUGAAACUGUGACUCCACGUCAUCUUUAUCUCUUUAUAAUAGGAGAAUGAUAAAUUAGAUUUUUUCUCCUCAUUUUUAGCAUUUUUAAUUGGAUUUGAAUUUUUUCAGGAGAAAAAUCUGAAAAUCAGGAGGAAAAAUCUGAUUUGUCAUUCUCCUAUUUCAAAGGGAUAAGAAUGAAGUGAAAUCACAUUUUUAUACAAUCUCUUCUCAUGGAUUUAUACCUACAAACCGCAUAAUAAUUGCAAACAAGUAUUAGUAAAAAAUGGACAUAUGAAAAAUGUUGGAGAUGCUUUGUACCUAAACGAAUUAUUGAAUGAUAAAAUUGAAUUUUGCCCCCUCAAAAAAAAAUUAUUUUCUGGCUUUGGGUCUGUAUGUAGAAACAUGUAAUUCAUAAAGAAACACAAAAGAGAGUGUACAGAAUGAAAGAGAGACCUGUCGUUUUGAAGAUAGCCAUUAGCAAUCCAGAAAGAAGAAGAAGCAUAGUUGAAUGCAUGAUGGCAUUGGCCAUUGGCAAAUAAAAGAUUUUACUAUUCUGGAUUUUAGGAACUGUUGUGAUGCCUCUAACACCAAUUCUCAGCACCCUUUUAUAAAGAAAUUACAGCUCAGGAUUGCCUGCGUUGGCAGGUCUCGGUUACUUCAUGGAAAAUUAUGGUGCAGAAAUUUGUUUACUAGCGCGCUGCCCCUUCCUUUACUUCAUAGAAAAGUCUUGAGUCCUUCAUGACGCAUAGAAAAAUUGAGUCUCAUUAUCUCAUUUUCGUAACUAAACUUUUUAGACUCUUGCAAUUACAUGGUUUCUUUUCGGCCACUCAUCGAGCCAUGUUUGAAUGCAAGAUUUUUUUUUUUUUUUUAAUGUUAGAAAACUGGCUUCGACGACCCAUUAAAUGUGUAGGGACCGAAACUGGCUUCGACGACCCAUGAAAUGUGUAGGGACCGAAAUCCAAAAGUUUAAUCAAAACAAAAUAUCUACCUCCAAAAAAUAAAAUUAUAACUUUUUUUCCGGAUUUUAAGUUUGUAAAUAGUAUACGAUUCAAUUAAUUUAUUAAAUUCAACUUGCUCUAAAAAAUAUUAUGAUGACUUGUGUAUAAUCUUAAUUUUUCAUGUAAUACUUGACUCAUUUGUUUCACGAUUAUGUCUACAAAAAGCACCUCGUAUAGUUUAACAGUAGUGUGAAAGACUUGUAUCCCAUGACCAAUUUCAGUACAAAGCCAAUAUAGAAUUCAUGGCCUUUUUCUAGGAGCAUGGGACAUAGCCUAGUUUGGUAUAAAAGCUUGUUCUAACGAUUCUUUGAUGCAACCAAUCCAUCCCCGGUAAUAGUAGACAACUGCAUCUGUUAAAGAAUACAUCCUUGAUUUGGUCUUCUUUGAGGAAGAUUAGUCAUAUUCUUGAGUCAGGGAUAAGAGGGGUUAUUAAAGACGACAGUUCUCUGAAAUGUUGGAGUGAUAAUUGGUUGGGAAGAAACUCUCUCCGCCAGCUAGUACAAGGCCCUCUAACAUUUUUGAAGGAGUUCGGUCUCUUGAACAAGUCCACAAUAGUUGGACUUUUAGUGGGCAUCAUUAAAUUUCUUACCAACCUCCAAAGUAUGUGAUUGAUGUGUUCUUAAGAAUUCUUGUAUCGUCUCCUGGCCUGGCUAAGAUUUUGUUUGUUGGGGUCCUUCGAAAUCUAGAUCCUUUACCCUUCAAGUACCUACUCCUUCAUCCUAGCACGCAAUGCUCCCUCUCUUGGCACCCCCUCUUGUAGCAAUUUAAAUCUCUAGAAUUUGAUAGGGAAAGCUCACCUUCCUCCAACAUUAAAGUUUUUCCUUUGGAAAUGUGAGUGGAAAGCUCUUCCCACCCAAACCUUUAAGAUCUAUCGUGAUAUGAACUUAAUAGAUCUUCGUCCUAUUUGCUCUAAUGAAUAAGAAUCCAUUAUAUAUCCAUCUGUUUCGGGAAUGUAUAUUGUCCAGCAAUUGUAGAAUUCUAUUUAUUUUCACUGUUGAUUUAGGCCUCUUCAACCCAGUAAUGGGGAGGAAUGGAUUCAAGGUAACGUCACCUCAAAAAAAGUGGUUCCAACAUCCUUCAAUUCCUUAGUUCAUUGUUUUUACUUUCGCCUUAUGAGAAAUUUGAUUGUGUCGUGAUCCUUUAGUCUUUUCAAAGACUAGACCUCUAAGGGGUUUCUUGCAACCGUUAAUCCUUGGUGUUGGUGAAUUUUUUUGCAAUCUCACUGCGUACAAAGAAUUUCAAUCUUCUUGACAUUGUUCCAGUUGCAUGGAAACCUCCUCCAUCGGGAUGGGUCAAAUUGAAUUCCAAUGGUUCAUUUAUAGGCAAUCUGAAUAAAGUAGGUAUGAUUAUCCAUGAUCGUUAGGGUCAUUGGGUGAUUGGCUCUUUUUGUCACAUCCCUAAUGCAGUUAGUGUAGAAGCUGAACUUUGGGUACUGAGAGAUGACCUAGUAUUACCUCAAGACCUUAAUAUAGAAAACCGUGAGAUUGAAGUUGAUGCUACGUCUGUAAUUCAUUUUAUGAAAGUCUCUUCAAAUUCUAACUUACUAUUAUCUUCAAAUUUUUCACGAAAAGAACAGAUGUGCAGAUACUUUAGCCCAUAUGUGAAGUAGCUACCAACAUGUCAUGUAUUGAACUUCAAUAAUAUUUGUUCCUUUCCUACCAAAACGAAAUCUUUUAUAGAACAUCGCUCGAUGAGUUCGUAAAUAUAAUAGUGGAAAAGCUUUUCUUUCGCUUGAAAAAAAAUCGCAAACGGCAACCAAUUUUAUAAAAUUACAAUGUACAGAUUACAUUUAUUUGCCUCUAGGCUCUCUUCUUUAGAGGCGAUGACAAUGGUUUGCAAAUCAAUACCCGGGGCUGAGAGAAAUUGCUGUACCGGUUUAAUGGAAACUAAUUGAGUAUUUCUCCUGUUUAUUUGGAUAAAAGAACCCCCAAUGUUUCUCAUAUGCCGGUUCUUUUUCAUUCUCAUCGAACAUGGCAAACAAGUAAGCUUCUAUUGCUUUUCCGGGUUUCUUCGGAGUCCCCUGGCCCUGAUUCACAUGUUGAACCAAUUUCCUGUUAUAAGUCAUUGCAUUAUCGACACUCGUGGUGUCUCCACCAUCCGAUGGCCAACCGGUUUCCGACACAACAAUGUCCAACGAUCCCCCACCGGCCUUCUCUAAAGCGGAGUAAAACGAGUCCAGCAUCGCGUCGAAAAGGUUCUGGUACUGCAACGAACCAUCGGUCACUACGACAGACGGAGCUGUAAAGAGAGCAUAGUCAAGAGGAACAUGUUCGGGGUCUCCAAUGUGGCUGAAGUAGGGAUAUGUGUUAACAAGUAAUGGAGCUUGACUGUCCCUCAAGAAAGUUAUGACUUGACCAAGAAGUUGCUGAUAUUCAGGAUGUAAAUUACCGUUGGAUGGAGGUAAGAUUCUUGAAGAGCAGCAAAAAAGGUAGCUGUAGAAACUUUGAUCUGGUGCCCUAGGCCAGCUCCGGAAAUUGCAUUAUGAAUAUUUUGCAUUGCAGGGAAAAGGAACUGAGCAAAAGAAUCCGAAGGCUUUACUUCAUUUCCGACAGCGAUGUAUCGAAAACUAACGGUGCUGUAUUUCUUGAUGUUGUCUUGAACCCAUUGAUUAGCCUUGGCUUGACUAGCAGCAACGUACUCAAGGCUCGGAUUUGGAACAUCUAACAGCAGCUUGAUGUUGGUUCCUCCAAGGGCUUGCAGAGCAGCGUGAUUGGGAGCGUAGAGCCGCAUUCGUUGGAUGCCUUUUUGUUGGAAAAGGGCGAUAACUUCAGCUUCGGGUGGCAAGUUUUUUGCCAUCAUUCCAUAACAAACACCCACUUCGGCACCUGUGAUUUUGAAGGUAGCCAUUAGCAACCCAAAAAGCAGAAGCAUAGUUGAAUGUAUGAUGGUGCAACAAGAUUCGGCAUUCGCCAUUGCUAUACUUUCAAGGCCAAUAAAAAAAUUUACUAGAAUUUUAGAAGUGCUUUGAUGCCUCCAACACCAAUUCUUAGCCACCUUUUUAUACAGAAAUACAACGCAGGAUUGUUUGAUUUGGCAGUUCUCUAUUACUGGUUUGAAAAUUUUGGUAUGGAAGCAUUCAAUGCUAAUUUGGCAACGUGUUUACUGGGUUUUUUUUAGUGUCUUUCUCCUUCCUAUAUACUUUAGAGAAAAAGUCUUCCUAUGUUUGAAAAAGUCUUUCUCCUUCAUGUCCCGUUCAACUGGUUUUCUAGUUUCAUUUAACAAUAUUAUAGAAAGUCAAUUAUGCUAAUAGUGCAUAAUAAAAUAUUAUGCUAUUAUUUAUUUAUGAUACAUUAUAUUCAUAAAUCCACUAUCUAUAAAAUAUUAUUCUUCAAGCUAAAUAUUUAUGUUAAUGGAUAUUACACUCAACAUAUGUAUGUAUGUUUAACAAAAACCCGAAAUGGACGCAGAGAAAAAGUUGAAUUGUGAGUCUCAUAAUGCACGGUAUCUCUCAUGUUCGUAACUGGAUUGGUCCAUGUUUGAAUGGAAUCACAUAUAUAUAUAUUUAAAUAUCAGAAAAUAGUGGUUGUAUGUACGUAGUGCAUGUAAUCAGUCCAUGGCCUCGACGACCCAUUAAAUGCGUAGGGAUGGAAAUAUUCCAAGUUCCAUAAAAAUUAGUGUAAGAUAAAGUCAAUGUGUUAUGCAAUUUUCUAUAUAACACUGGACAACUGCCUGAUUUAGCAGCCAUCCCUUCAUGUCGCUCCCAUGAAACAGCACAUUAUAGGGCUACUAAAUUAUAAGCGUCUCCUUUGAGUGAUAAAUAGGAAGAAAAAAAAUAUUGAAUAUCGAUUAUAGUUUAUUGUUGUUGGUGGAAUCGGUUUUGUUAUUGAAAAUAGUUUUUGAAGUAUUAAAUUUUAAAUAGUGGAGAUAGUAUACUUGAGUUAUUUAUGCUCAAUUUUCGUUUUAAAGUUUUAUCUAUCGACUCUGAUGAGAACUCAAAAGAGUUUCUGAAAUUUAUUGAAAGCGCCUAGGGUCCACCACUAGCCAAGUGGUAGUGUUUUUACCCUUUAAGACCUUUAAAAGUUUUCGAUUCAAACCCUAUCGAGACCAAAAUAAUAAAACUGCAUUUCUUUGGUAGAUCCUAGGCAUUCCCGAUAAACUCCAUGAACCUCUUAAGACUCUCUUCAAAGUCAAAAGAUAAAAUCUCGGGAUUAAAAUUAAGCAUAGACAUUCUAGGUACUGUACAACCACUGUUCGAAGUUCAGAUUGACUACUCAAAGGACAAUACUUCAAAAACUUCUCCCAAUAAGAGAGUCGAUUCCUCCUUAACAAUAGUAUUACAUUGAGAAUUAAGUUUAUUUUUAUUUAUUUGCUUAUAAUUUUUUAUAUUAGUUUGUAUCUAAUAUUAAUUUUUUUAAUCUUUGCAAAGGAUAGUAACAAAUUUUGAAAAGAUUAAUCUUCGUAAACAAUAAAACGGACAUAGAGGAUACCUUGAUUGCUUUUAUGAACCUUAUGAAUAAUUUAUGUGAUAGUUUUAAUCAAAUAAAAUAUGUUAUCCGUAAUAUCAGUUUAAAACUAAUGCUAUGUUUAGUAGAAAUUUUAUUUUUUUAACAUAGUUUAAAAUUAAUUACAAUUGAUAAUUUUAGCUAUUCACACGAUAAAGAAUUAAUUAAUUUUCAUUUUAUGCAUAAUUAAACGCUUGAUAAUAUAUAUCAUUGUUAUUGUUAAGCAUUCGAGGAACACGUUGAGUUUUCCUUUUUCCAUUUACCACUGGGAAAAUGCUUUAUAAAUUAACCCUUGCAAAAAUCCUUAGAAUUUGAUUUCAUCCAGGUCCAGCGGCCUAUCUAUGACCCACUAGUAUUGGGCCAACCAAGCAAUCCCCGGUUCAUAGAACCAAUUACCAAUAGAGUUGUAAUAAAAUUUCGAUCAAUAUUUUGAUUUUUUGUGGUUUAUAUUUGUUCCCGAGUUAAAUAAAUAAAUAUAUUUUUAAUUGUUGAUGUAAAUGUUCGAUUAUAAGUUCAUAAACUUAGGUGUUUGAAUACUUAAGUUUAAGUCUUAAUACAUGCGAUCAUCAUGUAUAAGUCUUUAAUCAUGUAUGUUAUGCUGUAGUUUUCAUGUAUAAAUGGAGAUGUCUAAAUUAUAAAUGUAAGACAACAAAAAAUUGGGCAGUGAUAGAAAAAGAAAGAUUUUUUUUUUUUGCGUUUUUUUGAUUUCAUCAAUUAGAUUUAUAUAUCAUAAUAGAUAUAGAUCUUAUUCUAUCCUAUAGAUUUGAAUGGAGAUAUAAAAAAGAAAGGUACCAAUAAAUUAAAUAGAAAUUCUUCUUCUUCUUCUUUUUCUAGAUAGUGUAUGGAAUAUAAAUAAAAAAGGGGUUAUAUCAUAUUGUUUUUUUUUCUAGAAUAGAAGCAUUUUAUGCGAUUUUCCCAUCUCUAUUUAUUUUCUAUGCAAUUUGUAUUGUAGUAUAUAUAUAAUUAUAAUUUAUAAAAUCUAUAAGAAUAGAUAAAUAAUGACAUUAAAAGACUGAUUGUUUUGUUUUAAAAAUAGAUGUCUUUGACAUCCAACUAUAGCACCGAAUAACUUUUUUUUGAAUGGCAGUUUCAAAAAAACGUACGUGUUUUUGUUCAAUUCUUUUCAAUUUAGUAGUAAAACUCUAAAAAUAAAUAUUUGUGAGCAUAUUCAUUUAAUUGAAAUAGACCAUCAUUUUCUCUUACCAACACAAAAAAUAAGCAAACAUAAAUACGGACCCAAAUAUAAUUUAUUUACUCUUUGAUCACUCAAUUAUAAAAAAUUUUACAUUUUAAUAAUUUAUCUUUAAAAAAUUAUAAAAUAAUCACAAUGCGGAAAAUUCAUACUUACACUAAUAAAUACAUUAAGAAAUUAAAAGAUGAAGAAUCACACCUUAAUUAUCUAACACACGGGAGAAGGGAAAGGUAAUAAGAGAAUCAUAAUGGAAAUUCCGAAAGAGACGUUCUAACUUCUAAUUAAAACCCAAAGAUCUUAAAAUGGCGCGCCCUUACCGUUUUUCACCCAACAAACUCCCUUUCCGUUUUAAACUUUAAACGAACCCACGCCCUCCACUUUCCCUCGUGUAUCACACGACAGCCAAAAUACAAACAGACACAAUCCCUUCAAAAAUAUAUAUCCAUCCAUCCCGCUCUAUAAUUAUUACCAUUUUCCCUUCCCAUUCCCUUCCCCUCCACAUAUCCCCUUCCAUUCCUCUCCCAAUCCAAACCAUGAGAGAAAUCCUUCACGUUCAAGGUGGCCAAUGCGGGAACCAAAUCGGUUCCAAGUUUUGGGAAGUGAUUUGCGACGAGCACGGCGUCGAUCCCACCGGAAGUUACACUAGAGAUGAAUCGUCGUCCUCUGAUCUACAGUUGGAACGUAUCAAUGUGUAUUACAAUGAGGCUUCUGGUGGGAGGUACGUUCCUCGUGCUGUUCUCAUGGAUCUUGAACCUGGUACUAUGGAUAGUAUCAGAUCCGGUCCCUAUGGACAGAUCUUUAGGCCCGAUAAUUUCGUGUUUGGACAAUCCGGUGCCGGUAACAACUGGGCUAAAGGUCAUUAUACCGAAGGAGCUGAGUUGAUUGAUUCUGUUCUUGAUGUUGUUCGUAAAGAGGCUGAGAAUUGUGAUUGCUUGCAAGGUAUAUACUACUAACUAUGUACUACAUGCUAUUCCUCUGCCUUUUUUCAUGUUUCUCUUAGAUACUUUCAUUUAGCUAAAUUUCCGCGUUAAUUUUGGUUCAAGUAAUUCUGAUCAUAGUACUUUCCUCAUCCAUUCCAACACACUUACUCUACUUAUUUUUUCUUCACGUCAAUGUUUAUUUUUCUACGUUUCUGUUUAGAAUUUGAUAUCCUCGGGCAAAAAUCAAUAUACGGAAUACAGAUACAGCAAUGGAUGAAUAAGUAAAUAAAUAUUCGAAUUUAGCAUAUUAUUGAUCAUUAAUGUUGUCGUUGAAGUAGAAGACUAAUAAUUUAAUAGAUGAUUAUUAUUUUUGUUUCUUGUUUAAUUAAAACCAAACUAGCAGGCAAUUAUUUGAUCGUACUACUCAGCUGUAUUACGAUAUAACUUUUAUUUCAUGAUAACGAUAUAUAUCUGCUUUCCUGUUGAUUUGUUUUUUCUUUGGCGUUGGCCAUAUCGAGGAUAAAGUAUCUUAUUUUAUCCAUCCAUGAAAUUGUAGAGAGUAGUAAUAUCUUGAAUUUAUGAUGAUCAUAAUUCACUGUGAAAAUAAGUAUAGAGUCUGAGCUGUUUUUAGUGAGCUGCUUUUUGUCCAAUUUGGAGGCAAAGGAGUACAUGUGUCUUUAUCUUGAUUGUGAUUGACCAGCUGGAUGUCGUUUUCUCCUUUAUUGGAUCAAAUAUUUUUUAACUAGUGUUUUGUUUCUUUGUGAAAUUUAACAUUAAGGUUAGAUCUCAUGGAAAUUGAUAAACUUUUCUAUGCAUUUUUUGGACCCUUGGGGACCCAUACCAGCUCAUCACCAUAUAAUUGUUGUCUUUACAUUAUUGUUAUCAUGGGUUCUUCACAUUUUAAUACCUGAAUUUUGAAGAAAAAUGUAAAAAAAAAAAAAUCUAAAUCACCAUGUGGAUAUUUAAUCGGUUUUAUAGUAAUAACAAUGACGCAGUCCAUAAUAGAAAUUGGCAUUAAUAUCAGAUCUUGUUUAUCCAUAUUUUUGAAGUACAUUAUAAUAACAAUUACAUGUUAAAUUAUACUAAAUGACCAUAUCUCUGGAUCCUGAUCUAGCUGAAAUGGACUAAUAUUGUGAUCAUUUGUUCUGUUGUUGCUGUAAUAAUGUAAUAACAAUGUGUCAUAAACAAUGACAAUGGUGAAUUUGUACGGCGGACUUUCAAACUAUGUCCUUUGUUUGAGUUAAAUAUUUAAAUUAGUUUUUAGUCGAAUCAGGUCUUUAAACUUUAUUUUCGUAAUCAGUGUUGGCCUGUUCAGUGUUGGCCUGUACAUUUGUUAAAAAAACCCUUGCAGCCAAUUAAGAAGCUACAGGUCAUUAAAAUGGUGAUGGUGGAUUAUUGAAUCAAGUAACUUUUAAGGGGGCCCAAAAUAAAUAUGCCAUUGUCAUUUUGAAUUGGCUAAUGAAGCUCACUUGUUUAUGUUAUUUCUUGACCAGGCUUCCAGGUAUGCCAUUCACUUGGAGGAGGUACAGGCUCAGGCAUGGGAACUCUCCUAAUAUCGAAAAUUCGAGAGGAAUAUCCAGAUAGGAUGAUGAUGACAUUCUCUGUUUUCCCUUCACCUAAAGUCUCCGACACAGUUGUGGAGCCAUACAAUGCCACCCUCUCCGUGCAUCAGCUGGUAGAGAAUGCUGAUGAAUGCAUGGUUCUUGACAACGAGGCACUUUAUGAUAUUUGUUUCCGGACUCUAAAGCUUACUACCCCUAGCUGUGAGUGAUAGAUUGUUCAUUUUGACUAUAAUGUGAAACAAUUUAGAUUCUGAAAUUAACACCAACACUAAUAAUUUUUCAGUUGGAGAUUUGAACCAUUUGAUUUCUGCAACAAUGAGUGGUGUAACAUGCUGCUUGAGGUUCCCUGGACAGCUGAACUCCGACCUCCGAAAGUUAGCCGUAAAUCUGAUCCCAUUCCCACGUCUUCACUUCUUUAUGGUUGGAUUCGCACCGCUCACAUCCCGUGGUUCCCAGCAUUACAUUUCCCUCACCGUCCCAGAGCUGACACAACAAAUGUGGGAUGCCAAGAACAUGAUGUGCGCUGCCGAUCCUCGUCACGGCCGUUACUUGACAGCCUCAGCUAUGUUCCGAGGCAAAAUGAGCACCAAAGAAGUUGAUGAACAAAUGAUCAAUGUCCAAAACAAGAAUUCAUCAUACUUCGUGGAGUGGAUUCCCAACAAUGUGAAGUCCAGUGUCUGUGAUAUCCCACCAAAGGGUUUGAAGAUGUCGUCGACAUUCGUUGGGAACUCGACAUCGAUCCAAGAGAUGUUUAGGAGGGUAAGUGAGCAAUUCACAGCGAUGUUCCGUCGCAAGGCCUUUUUGCAUUGGUAUACCGGUGAGGGGAUGGAUGAGAUGGAAUUCACCGAAGCGGAAAGUAACAUGAACGACUUGGUGGCUGAAUAUCAGCAAUACCAGGACGCCACUGUCGAGGAAGAGGGCGAGUACGAGGGGGAGGAAGGUGUGGAAGAGAACUACGAGCCUUGAAAUAUUUGGGCAAUUAUUAUUACAUAUUUGCGACUUUUACAUGCUUAUGUAAUACUGUGUGGCUAUUGGUGUGUUUUUGUUAAACUCUGUAUUUCCCAGGUUCAGGAUUAUGCUGUUUGCUCUUUCCAGACUAUAUUCAACAUAAGUAUUAUCGGUUUUACUUAAUAACCUCUGCUAAUAAGGUCUUCCAUGAUUAAAGACAUUGUUGUUUAAUUAAGUUUAAAAUAUAUUAAUUCUAUAUUUUCAUCAUUUUUUUUAUAAAAUGUUAAACAUUAAGAAGUUGUAUUUAAUCAAAAUACUAAGUAUAGGGAAUGAUAGAACUGGUAAUAAUCUAAUUAGAUGCAUUAAAAUAAAAUAUUAAAUGAUAAUCUAAUGAUAAUUUGAAUGUGGAUAACUACCAUAUUUAACUAACAAAUUUUUUCUUAAAAUUAAUGUUUUGCGGCAACUCAAAAUUAUAAUCUAAAAGAGCAAGUGUUUAAAACUUAUAAGGGAAAAAGGCAGCAGGGAACGGGAUGAAUAAAAUAAAAGUAGAAACAAAAAGGUAUAUGCAUCAGAGUCAUGGAAGUAUGAGGUGCAAACAUCGCUCGCAGUUAAUGGGCGAGCUUCUCAUACCUGGAAUGAUCCUCAUCAUUUGCAUGGGGCCACUCUAUGUUCCCCUUUCCAUAGAAUCAAAAUAUUACUAUCUCAUUGUGCUCUUUGUCUAUGCUUCUCAAAGUUUAUAUAUUACAAGAAAAGGGGUUCCCUACGCUUGCUGGAAACUUAACCAAAACAGAAAAACCUUGAAUCCCAUUGGGUUUCUUAUUUGGACUGAUAAGCUUUAUCCUCACGCUCUUUAAAAACCCAAUUACUACGCUACUCCUACUCCAAUGCCCAUACAAAAGGAAGCAUAAAAUUAUUAUUAUAUUAUAUCCUUUUAAGAAGAUAUUUAUAUGUUAAACCUUCAAUUAAUAUAUAUUUUUGUUUUUGAAACUUGCAUCCGGAGUCAUAAUUGUAAUUACAAUCAUAAUUAUCAUUUUAAAACAUAAUCAAAUUAAUAAUCGGAAUAUAUUCAAAUAUGCCGCCAAAAAAUUAAUUAAGUUUUAGUUCGGUUAUCAUUGAUAUUAUUAUCAAUGCAAGAGCACAUGGAUUCGAGUGUGUUUAAACGCGUUUACCCUUUUAUUUAGAAAAAAGAGAAUAUAUCCAAACAUAUACUAGGACUACAAUAGAGGGUUUUGUCUCUAACUCUAAAUAGAGUUCGAUAGGUUCACAGAAUAAGAGCGUCUUGUUGGGUGCUUGAUAAGGAAGAUCAUGCAUAUUCAUUGUAAUGGCCCAAAUUUGAGGUUAUCGGAACAGUGGUUUCGGAACCACAAAUCCGAUGAGAAAAAUUUUAUUUUUCUUAUAUUUUUAUGGUCUACAAUUUCACAAAAUGAUUUUUUGAAAAUUUCGUUCGAAAAUUUCGACGUUUGGGCACUCAAUUUAGUCAAAAGGACUAAAUUGUAAAAAGUGCAAAAGUUGAGUUCUACAUGUUAGAGGUGUCCAAUUGUUAUGAAACUUUAAAUUGGAGGUCUUUUUAUGAUAAUUAUACCAUUGGUAACUUGGUAGACAAAAAUGGACAUGAGAUAAGUGAAAUAGAAAAUUUUUAAGUUAGGGGCAAUUUGGUAAUCUAGUAAUUAAAAUGAAUUAAAAGGGAAAAAGAUGGCAAAAAUCAUCAUCUUCUUCAUAUGAACGAAAUCAGCAAGGGGGGAAGCUAGUUAGGGUUUUCAAGCUUCCAAGCUCCAUAGUAAGUGAUCCCAAGCCCCGUUUUUAAUGUUCUUUACGUUUUUGAGAUCCCGGUAGCUUAAUUUAGCUUAUUCUAGCAAUAAUUUAACCUAGGGUUUAUAUUUGGAAAAAUACCCAUAGGUGAAAAGUGUUUAUUUUGAUGUUUUAUGAUAGAAUAUGAAGCUAGAAAUUAUGUUAAACAACUUUUGCUAAGCGAUUUUAAGUGAAAACGAGUAAAACGACAUAAUCGGUAAAAAUACCUAAUGUUCAUAAGUACAUGUUAGAGUGGGAAUUUGAUGUUGCCAUAGAAGGGAAAAAUGUUCAGAAUGUUAUAAAACAUAAGAAUAAGAGAUGAAGUUUAAUUUCCGAGCCUUGGGGCAAAAAUGUAAUUAUGUAAAAGUUUAGGGGCAAAAUUGUAAUUUUGAAAAAGUUAGAGUCGAGGGCUGUUUUAAUGAAUGUGAUUAUUAAAUAAGUUAAAUUUACUAUUUUAGAUCAAGAAGUACGAAACUCGAGGUUAGACAAAGGGAAGAAUAAAGUUGAAGACUAAGUUGGUGAAUUUGGUUAUAAUUGGUACCGAGGUAAGUUUACGGUAAAUAAAUGCAAUAUUCCAAUAUUUAUUAUUAAUGCUGUUAAUUUCCAGCAAUUUUGAAUUUAUUUUAUGAAUUUAUUUGAUGAUGAUCCAAGCAUGAAAUGAUAGAGAAUUAAAAUUUAAAAGUCCCGUUGAUACAUAAGGAUGGUACUGGAUACGAAUGUCAUGACAUUUGGGUAAAGAGAUCCCAUGUAAGACCAUGUCUGGGACAUGGCAUUGGCAUCCUUAAGAUCAUGAGAGGUCCCCUGUAAGACCAUGUCUGGGACAUGGCAUGGGCACCGAGACGAGAGGUCCCAUGUAAGACCAUGUCUAGGACAUGGCGUUGGCACCGAGAUGAGAGGUCCCCUAUAAGACCAUGUCUGGGACAUGGCAUGGGCACCAUCACGAGAACAUCCCAUGUAAGACCAUGUCUGGGACGUGGCUUUGGCAUGUUAUUAUCAGAAGAGACCCGAGUAUCCUUAUUAUUCCAAUGUAGCUCAACGGGCUUGUAAACGAAUCAUGUUCAUGAAAGUUCAGUUUAAAGCAUAAAUGGCAAGCUCAGGUAAGUUGUAAGACUUAAGAACUUAUUAUACUAUCAAUUGAUGUUCAACGAUGCAGCAAGGAUUGAGUAAGUUAUGCACACAAGUAUUCUAAGUAAACAAGUAAGAGAACUAGUAUGAGAUUAACUAAAGAGUAAACUAGAGAUAUAGACAUUGAGUUUAAUUAUUUAAGUUAAAUAUUGUUAUUUAUUUGCUAGUAAACUUACUAAGCUUUAUGCUUACUUCUUUUAUUUCUCUUUCUCUUAUAGUAUUGCAAAGCUACUUCAAGGAUCCUAAAGAAGUCGGAGAUCGUCCACACUAUCAACUACAACUGCUCGGUAUUUUAUAUCGAAACACGUUUGAGUUAUGGCAUGUAUAGGGAUUUAGUUAUUUUGUAUGUUUGUAAUGAUGAUUUUGCUAAUGAGUGAUGUGUAAGUAUUUGAUGAUGUAUGGUUAUUAAAAUGAUUAAGGAUGAAGGUGCUUGUUGUUAUGAAAGAUUAGGUGAUAAAUUAUGCAUGGAAAUCAUGAAAGGAUAAAAUUUUGCAAAGAAACAGAAUUCAGGCAGCACAGUGACGUGAAUUUGAAAAAUCACCCAAGAUAGUAUAAAAUGAAUUAGAGGGUGAAAGAUAUAUGGAAUUAAAGCUUGUUGAGUCUAUUUUCAUGGAAAAAUAACGGUGUAGAAAAAGGAAAUUUAUAUUUUAAGAUAUGUGAAUUUUAGUAAGAUAGGGUCAGAACUGUUUUUGGAGUCCCCUGUUCUGAGUUUAGAAAAUAAUUAAAAAUUGUAAAAAAAUGAUUAUGAGUUGAAAUUUACAUGCUUAGAUUUCUUAAUGAGUCUAUUUUCUGUAGAAACAAGUAAGAACUUCAUAUGAAAAUCCUACAGUGAGAAAACUUAUUUUUAGUGACUAGAGGUCAGGGCAGUCAGGUGGUGAAACAGGGGAGACUUUAACUAAUAAACUGUACUAAUUUUCUGAACCAAAAAUUCUAAAAAUUUUAUGGUGAGUAGAUAUAUGAGUCUAGUUUCAGGGAAAAUUUACGGAAUUAAAUUUCGAGUUCUGUAGCUCAAGUUAUAAUUAAUUUAGUAACUGCUGCGCGAUUGGACAGAUUUGCUGCGAAUAAUGAAAUAAAUUUUCAAACCUAGUUUUUAUGCUCCGAAUUGGUAAGAUAAGCUAAGUAAUGCCUCGUGCUCGACUCCGGAAACGGUCUCGGGUAAGGGGUGUUACAUUCAUGUACAUAUUCAUGUUCUAUAGCAUAGAAGACACUUAUGGAUAACUACAUUUGAGUUAGCAAUUAUUAUAAUUUGUUUUUUUAUCUCUUCAAUUUUUUAUUGUUUAAUAUUUUUUUAUGUAAAUACAUGUUAGAUAUUUAUUCAUAAUAUUAACUUUGAAAUAUUUUUUUAUUUUUUUCAUUAAAACUUGCUUAAUGGCAAAUGAUUAAUAUAUAACAUAAUUUGAUAUAAAUUUAAAUUUUUUAAGUUUUAAUUGAAGUCAAAUAUAAUUUUUUAUGAACCCAUUAUAUGUGUUACAUACUUUUCUUUUAAUGUAUAAUAAAAUUUUUAAAAUAUCGAGCGGGACAAGGCCAAAAACUGCUCCAAUAUUUGUCUUUCAAACAAAAAUAAUUGCCACAUCCCGCCUCGACUAUUCAAGAAGAAAAAAGAAAAACCUUUCCAUUCGAAGUAGAUCAAUUAAACAUUUAUUAGGUGAUUCAAAUUUUAACAUCCUUAAAUCAAUUAAGAUGUCUACAACUUGUAAUUUGUUGUAAAUUUUAAAUGAAUUUACCAAAAAAGUUAAAUUUAUUUACUAUUUACAUUAAAUGUAUGUGUUAUUAUCUAAAUUGGGAUAAAAAUACCAUAUAAGGUCUUAUAUUAUAAGUUAGAUUGUAUUUUACUCUAUUAUUUAAAAAAUUACCUUAACUUAAAAAGAAUAUUGGUCAUUUUUAUUAAAAAAUUUAUCAAUUUCUAUUGUUGAAAACUUACAUGACUAACUGAAUAAUCAGAUAAUGACACAUAGCAUGCUAUAUGUACCCCGAAAUGAAAUGAUGUAUAAAGAUGAAAUUUAUUUGAGAUGCAUAAGGAAAUUACUUGGAAGUGGGGAGUAGUCUUUCUUAUCGUGCAUUGCAGCCAACAGGUACAUAGUAAAAAGGAAUUCCAUAGAUGUGGUUCCUAGUUUCCUUAAAUUCUACAUAAAACACUAAAUCAAGUUGCCAACCAUCCAUUUUGUUUUACUACUUAAAACAUAGGUGGAGGGCCAUCAAACUGUCUCAAAGUCAGCAACCUUGUGCUCGUUGGGUGUCAAGAACCCACUUCCAUCCUUAUAAUUUUGGUUUUUGAAAAUUUUAAAGGAUCAAAACCAGGAUUAGACCAAAUUUCUCAACUUCCAAUCACCCAAGAAAUUCUCGCAGUUAACCAUGGCGUGUGCUGUAGAUUUUUUAUAGCAAAUCUUAGGUUCCUUGAAUCUCACAUUAGAUUCUUUCACACCCAAAAACCAAAGCAAAAUCUUCUAUUGAAUCAAUCAUUCAAAGAUACUGAAAAAGCAUUUAUUAUAAACAUUUAAUACCAAAUCAAAUAUAUUCUCAAUCGCCCUCUAAUUUACAAUUUUCCAUUCUGUAAAUAAAAACAGAGAGCAAAAAAGGAUAAAAAUAACAAAAGUCACGUUAAAGGGCACCCAGCUUUGUAAAUGGCAUUGUAAUUCUUUGCUCUGCAAAUUUGCCUCCUUUUAAACCUUGCUUCUGCUGCUGCUCUGCUCCUUGUUACCGUGUCUAGAUCGAUGAAUGCUUCCUCUGCAGCAACGUUGAGGUCUGGGAUACCGUUUGAUGAUGGCAACAUUGAGAUCAUUUCAACCAUCCGAUCCAUCAUCAACGUUUGGUGAUGAACCCUGCUGGGAAUUCCUUGCUGUUGAUAAUGAUGGUAUUGACCAAUACUAACUUGGGCUGAUUGUACACCAAGAUCCAACCUUUUAUUUGUUACUGGUGUGAGAAGACUCUGAUUUAACUGUUGAAACCAGAAGGAAAAUAUUUAAAAAAUGUGAUAAACUUGAAAAACAAUACCACCCCACUCUAUCAAAAAAGCAAACAGAAAUAAAUAAAUAAAUAAAUUUAAAACCUUUUGUUUCUUCGAUUUCAAUUCCAAAUUCUCAGCUAUUUGUUGAUCAAGCAAUUGCCUCUUAAUCUCUAUAUCCUGUUUGAAUUCACAGUAAUCAAAGAUUUUAGUGAAAUAUUCAAGAAAAUUACAACUUAUUAAUGUAACUCACCUUUUUAAGCAAUUCAUUGCGAUGGGUAAAAUCCUCCACCAUCUCUAAAAUUUGUUCUUUUUUCUGCUUUAUUAACAAGACAAAAAAAAACCCAGAAUGGACAUGGAUCAGUAAACAGAGUACACGUGUAAAGACAAUGAACUCGAAAAAAGAAAGAAAAUUUAUUUGAGUGAUGAUAACCCAAAACGAAGAGAAUACGACGUACCCUUUUGAGAGUGUUAACCGAAGUUUUCUUCUUGGGAGGCUGAGGCUGAGGCUGAGGCUUCUCAUCUGCUUCAUUGGGACAAAAGGAUAGAGGGGUGUCAGGGCUUGAAGAUAAGACCUUUUCGAUGGGUCCCACGAUGGCGGAAGAAGAAAGAGGCUGUUGCGACGGCGGCGGAGAAGAUGUGGAAACGGAUCUCUUCCUCCGGCAGCCCCAAGUACAAGAAAAGCGAGGAGGGCGUAAUAUGAGACGGGGAAGCUCCAACAUGAUAUUGGCAACCUCAAUACCUUCCAUGGUGAAUUGACUGUCAAAGCUCUGUUUCAUUUUUAACCCCAAAAUUCCUCAAUUUUCCUCUGAUACUUAAAAGACAAGAAAAGGGGCUGACUUGAAAAACAGAGAGUAAAAGAUAGAGGGAGAGAUUGAGUUGGUUGGAAAGAGAGUCUCGCUCACCCUCAGCAUAUAAAGGAACCCAUGGCGAGAGCAACGGGUUAUUGACACGUUUCAGACAAUGAAGAGGAUUGAGAACGAACGGUUUUAGGGUUUAUGGAUUUAUCUGAUGGGUUGUACGCGCGAGUUUAAUAUGGGUUUUUAGUUCCUAUAAUUAGUUUAGUUAAAGGAGUAUUAGGAGAGUUAAGUUUAGAAACUAGUCCACGCCCUUUCCAUGUGCGUGAUUCUGAAACGCCCACACCUGUAGUUAUUGGUACGUUUGGAGACUGGGUGGUACAAGAAUCUCGCGCACUUUUUUCCCUUAUUUUUCUCUACAAUUAAGGGGAAGUAGAGACUGGGUGGUACAAGCAUCUCGCCCACUAGCCUAAUUACAUUCUUGUCAAAUUGCUACUUCAGGAAGAACAUAAUAUCCAUAUUUUAUGUCAUAAAUUGAGCAGGUGCAAGUUUUUUAGCAAAAUAAAGACACCCUAAAACCAAAGUUAAAUUCUUGCUCACCAAGUAAACCUGAAUCAAUCAUUCAAAGAUACUCAAAAAGCAUUUAUUAAGAAUAUCAAUACCAAAUCAAAUAAUUUCUCUUCUCCAUAUCAGCUUCCUUCUAAUUUACAAUUUUCCAUACACCCUACGUUAAUGCCGCCGUAAAAAAAGAGGAUAAAAAUCCGACACAAAACUCAUGUUAAAGCGCACCCAGCUUUCUAAACACCUUUCAAAUUCUUUGCUCUGCAAAUUUGCUUCCUUUUAAACCUUGCUGCUGCUGCUGCUCCGCUUUUGCUUACUAUGUCCACAUCCAUGAAUGCUUCUUCUGCCGAAACGUUGAGGUCUGGGAUACCCUUUGAUGAUGGCAACAUUGACAUCAUUUCAACCAUCCGAUCCAUCGUCAACGGUUGGUGAUGAACCCUGCUGGGAAUUCCUUGUUGAUGUUGACCAACACUAAUUUGGGUUGAUUCUGGUGUGAGAACACACUGAUUUAACUGUUAAAACCAAAAAGAAAAUAAUUUUAAAAAAAAUGUGAUAAACUUGAAAAACAACACGACCCCACUUCAUCAAAGAAAGCAAACAGAAAUAAAUAAAUUAAUUAAAAACCUUUUGUUUCUUGGAUUUCAACUCCAAAUUCUCAGCUAGUUGUUGAUCAAGCAAUUUCCUUUUAAUCUCUAUAUCUUGUUUGAAUUCCGAGAAAUCAAGGAUUUUAGUAAAACAUUGAAUCGAAGAACAGGUUAAAAAAAUGAAGAUAAUGCGGUGAUAUUCAAGAAAACGAGUAAAAAUAAAUAAACUCACCCUUUUGAGUAAUUCAUUGCGAUGGGUAAAAUCUUCCACCAUCUCUAAAAGUUGUUCUUUUUUCUGUUUUAUUAAGAAAACAAAAACCCAGAACGGAGAUGGAUCAGUAAACAGAGCACACGUGUAACGACAAUGAACUCUAAAAAGAAAGAAAAGUGAUUGAAAGUGAUGAUGACCAUAAACGAAGAUAAAACAACGUACCCUUUUGAGAAUAUUAACCGAAGAAGCUUUUUUCUUGGGAGGCAGAGGCAGAGGCUUCUCAUCUGCUUCACUGGGACAAAAAGACAGGGGUGUAUCAGGGCUUGAAGAUAUGAUAUUUUCGACGGGUCCCACGACUGCCGAAGAAGGAAGGAGCGGCGGCGAAGAUGUGGAAACAGAUCUCUUCCUCCGGCAGCCCCAAGUACAAGAAGAGCGAGUAGGGCGUAAUAUGAGACGGGGAAGCUCCAACAGGAUAUUGGCGACCUCAAUAUCUUCCAUGGUGAAAACACUGUCAAAGCUCUGUGUCAAGUUCCACAAUUUUGCUCUGAUACUUAAAAAGAGCAAGAAAGUGGGGAUUUGAAUUGAAAGGCGGUCUUAAUUGAAAGAAUUGGAAAACAGAGAGCAAAAGAUAAAGAGCGAGAGAUGAAGAGAUUGAGUUGCUUGGAAAGAGGGUCUCUCUCGCUCUCGCACGCUCUCGCACAUAAAGGAAUCCAUGGCGAGAGCCUUGAGUUAAUGACACGUGUCAUAAAUGAAGAGGGUGUUGAUGAUGGUUUUAGGGUUUAUGGCCCUAUUUCCUUUUGGCACUUAAUGGGCUUUUUUGAGUUUACUAUAGAUUGACUUCUAGAGUCAAUUCCAGUGCCUUAGAUUCUAAUAUAUCCUAAUUAUAUCUUUAAACUAUCAUUAUUAUUAUUAUUAUUAAAAUUAUUAAUUUAAAUGUUAAUUAUACGUGAUGUCUUAUAUAAAAUAAUUUAAAGAAAAAAUUUGUUACAAUGUAACUCCUAAAACCAAAAAUAAAAUAAAACUAGAGAAAAGGAAAAUAGUAAUACUUUUUGUAAAAAUUUUGAAUAUUUUAAAAAUUAAGACUUUUACAACACCUAUUUUUAAAACUUCCAUUAUAAAUUUUCCUUUCUAAUUAUGUCACAUGAGAUAUGAUAUCUAAUUUAACAGUUAAAUUAAUGAUUUUAAUAACAUAAUAACCUUAAUAAUAUAACAUCAAUAAUUUAAAAAUAUAAUUAGAAUAAUUUAAAGUUUAAAGAUUAAUUUAAAGCGAGAGAUGAUUAUUUAUAUGAAAAUUAAAUUUUAAUUAAUAUUAAAUUAAAAACUAACAAGGACUAACAAAAACACAU